rnacentral:lncRNA from 1 species
UUUUUUUUGGUGUUUCGCUGAUUAAAUAGAUACUUAUGUACCUAGAAAUGAUUUUUGGAAAAAAUUAAGAGAAAACUAUGAGGCAGCUGUGGUUUAAAUUUGACCCGCUUCCUGCUGAAAUGGCGGAAUUUUGUCUUUUUCACCAGAAGUGUAUAAUUUUUUUUGACAAUCAACCAUUUUGCAAAUUGAACAUUAAAUAUGGCCUAAUAUAUUAUAAAAUGAUCUGGUCCCAUUUUGCAACAAAUAUAUGGUAGGUCAUUUACAAAAAAACUCAAUUUAGGCACUCGAAAAAUAGAAAAUGAUUUUUUUGACCAAUUUAGAUGGUCAUAACGUCGUACUGUAUUCUGAUUGGUCCGUGGACGCAUCACGCGGAUCAUGCAUCGAACACCGUCGGAUGAUCGUGGAUCCAACGGCAGUCAUCAGCCCUUCCACACCAUCCCCGAAACCCUAGCUCUACCCUGUGGUAAUUUUACAUCCACCCCCCGCCUCCUUUCUUUCCCUCGCUCUCUUCUCCUCCUCUCCCCUUCCAGAUCCGCCCUCGCCGCCACCCGCCCUCCCCUCGCUCUCCUCGAUCUAGAUCGCUCCUCCCCUCCCUCCCCUCCGGCAUUACGGCGCCCGAAGCGUGCGUGCUCCCCACCUCUUCUCCACCUCGCGCCUCGCAGUCGUACUACCAACCAACCCCGGCCGACGCAACUCCAGUCACUCCCCGCCUCCCGCGAUGGUCGCCACGACGAAGAUCCCGCAGCGGCCGCUCUUCAUCGACGACGACUGGCGUGCGCCCGCACUCGGCCGCCACCUCCCCGUCAUCAACCCCACCACCGAGGCCUCCAUCGGUCCAUACCAGAUCCAUCCAUCCUGCUUUCUCUCUGGUUUCCGUUCGCCCGUGCCGUUGGGUGCUCAUCAGUGGGUUUGCGCAGGCGAGAUCCCGGCGGGCACCUCGGAGGACGUGGACGCGGCGGUGGCUGCCGCGCGGGCGGCCCUCAAGAGGAACCGCGGCCGCGACUGGUCCCGCGUGCCCGGCGCUGUCCGGGCCAAGUACCUCUGCGCGAUCGCCGCCAAGGUACUACUCUCCUGCUGCUUCCGCGCGCAAGUACAACAAUAGGCCAUGUGGUUGCGUAUGUAGAUAUGCUUGGAUAGGUGAGAUUGGUCGAGUUAUAUUUUACCAAAUAUGGAGUAGCAGCUACCGGCGCAUAGUGGGAUCUGAGCAUGGGAUCGGAACUGAACCAUCACAUGGCGUUGUAGUUAGGCUGGCUUCUCAGAUGGAACAUGCCUUUGCCUAGGUCUGGGUUGGUGAACAUGGUCUUCUUAGCUAUGCUUAUUUUCUGUUUUAAUGUCUGUAUCAGUUCCCCCUGCCAUUAAGUGCAUCACUAAGAAGUCUGAAUCAAGUUCCCCAAUGACUGUCAGCUUCUUUUCCAUGGAGUGGAAUUUGAGUUCUGAGCCUCAAAUUAUCAGGAAAGUUGCAGUCCCUUCUGCAACAACUUUAUAAAUCCAAUAUCUUAUUACAAAUCCAUUUGGCCAGUUAGAUCUUAAGCCUUUGCAAGCUUGGAUGAUAUGAUCUAUUAUGUGAGCAUUUUACUAAAUCCUUCUGUUACCUCCAUUUGUGUUUUAUGAUAAACUGAUGUGUAACAUUUUGCAUAGCAGCAAUUAUCUUUCUGUGUAUUCAAUAGUGAAUUAUAUAACUGAGAUUUAUUUUGGCAGGUCAGUGCUGCUAAUGAACGAAUGCUAGGAGGGGGAGGUGUUGAUGGAGGUAUAAACUAGCUUCCGACGAGAUGGUGUGUAUUUUACAUACCCCUCUGUGAUUUAUGCACUUCACAUGCAUUUUCCCCAUCACCCACCAACCGUAACAUGCUAGUUGUAUGUGCUGCAGCCAUUCUUGCACUUGUUUUCAAAUCAGAGUGUGGUUUGUUUCUCUACAAUUUUUUGGAGUGUGGGCUAUUCGAUCUGACGCAUCUCGUCGACGCAGGGUGAUCGAGGAGAGGGGAGAGGCCGGUGCGAGUGGACCGGUCCGAUCGGUCAGGGUGGCGACCAAGGAGCCGAGGAUGUCGAGGAGGGCGGUGAACCCCGGCGGUCAUGGAAAGGCGGCUGGACAUGUGUAGGUGCCUCGUCAACCCGUGAACUCUCACAGGAUAAUUAAUCCGGUUCCAUUUUGAUCUCUUCGCAUCAAUUCUUCCGCACAUCCCAGUAAUCCUAGAUUAAUUUGGUUCUUUUGUUUUACUUAUUGCAGGUGACACUGCUCUGGCCAUUUCUGCGGCUUAUGGGAUGCCUGCUAUCACGAGAUAUCUCCUUGGUCGUGGUGCUGGUCCAACUUGGACGGUGGAACAAAGAAACAAUGAGUUUCUGUGCGACAACUUUGAGGAUUGGAUUAUAAUGUGAAUUGGUUUCUGAUACUCUGUCGCUCAAGUGUUAAUUCUAGUCUUUUUUGCUCACCAUUCGAUGACUUUUUCUAUUAUUAUAGUAGGCGCAAUCAGCAUGACUUCUUAUGUGUUUCUUUUGCUAUUAUUAUAGUAGGAGGUUGCUAUUUUUUAUUAGAACAAACAUGAAAUUGGUUGCUCUAUUAGGCAACUCAUUUUUUUGUGCUAUUUCCUGGAGCUUCGAGUGAAGAGUAGGCUUGCAAUGCCUGCCUUUUUUGUGUGCUAUUUUUUUGUGUGCUAUUCCCUAGUUUGGGAUUUUCUCCCAAUUCCUAGGCAUCUAGUUCCUAUACUAAUAUACUUGUACUGCUCAUGCUGCUGUUGCUAGUGGUCUUGUAGCACAUCACAGCACUUCUAGUUCCUAUACUAAUAUACUUGUACUGCUCAUCCAACUCUACUGAUACAUGUUUACACUGUUAAUUAUUAGUGAAUGGUGAUGUCUGUGGUCCCGAGAUCCUUUCCGCGGUUUGCAAAAUGCUGUGAUGAAUCAUGAAAUCUACGACGUAUGUCAGACUUCAGAGAUGCCAUUUGUCAUUGAUGAGAAGAUAUUUCAUAUUCUAAGCAAUAAUGUUUGCAUUUCAUACUGAUAGCUGCCAAACUAUAAAUUGUUAUAGCCUUUUUUCUUGAUGUCGAUGCAUGCUUAUAUGUUUGAGGGUCAAGUAAUGAGGAAUAAACCAUAAUAUGAUGGAGCUCUUCUCCUCUAAUUCUUAGUAUUUAAGUCUCUGAUGGUACCUCAACACCCUGAUAUGUUUGUGGCUUUCUAUGCUAUCCACAUACUGAAGGAAGUCCUGCUAUCUUCACAACAAAUAUAAUUUUGCUUGAAUGAGUUUAUAAAUUGAACUAUCUCCACAACAAAGAUAUUUACCAUUUGUAGUUCCAAUCUAAAGUGUUGCUUGAUAUCAUUUGUGGUUCAAGUGAUGAUGAGAAACUGCAACAAUAUGACAGGAGUUACACUCUUGUGAUUCGUAGUUUAAAGUCCGAUGAUUUCUUAUCUUCAAAUAACCGUUGCCUUGUGAAAUGCAAUGCUGCUCACGUUCUUGUUCUCUUACGAAUUGUUUGAUGCAAUUUCUAGGACGGGUUUCUUUGACACUGAGGGAGUAUUAUCUUAUUACUUGUAUAUCCAUCAGCUGUUACUGCGCCUUUGUGGCGCAAUCUGAAUCUCUGUAGACCAAUCAUAUCUAAAGGAUGAGCCAAGCACAGCAUGUCUACAGUUUCAUAACGGAAAACCAAUCAUGCUAUAAGUACUAAGCAACUCCAUUGCAGUCUAAUUUGUUCAGAAUGGAGAUGAAAACUUUGGUUGGUUUGCAUCAUACCUUAUAGUCAUAUAUAUAUAAAGCUUCCAUUUAAUGUCCGAAGAAUGCAUACCUGAUUUGAGUUAGACUCUAGUCUUGACUAUUUUAUGUAGGUGGCAACUGACAAGAGUUUCAGUCUAGCUCAUCUGAAGUUUCUCUGUAUGCAGGAGGGCGACCUGGAGGAGCUUGAGAGGAGCGUGGAGCCUGCGUGGGAAAGCUUGGUCCACCUGCUCAAGCGCAUCGUCGACAGGCUGAACGUCGUUGACCACAUCAAAGCCGUCAAGGACUCGCCCGACCUCCGUGCCGCCGUCGAGGAUGUCCAGGUAGUCUUCUCUUCUGUCACACUGCCUGUGAUCUGGACAAAUGAAGUCGUUGAUUGGUUAGCGCAUCAUCAGAUGAUGAUGUUGUCUCUGUAUUUCUUCUUACUCCAUGAAUUAAUCCUGAUGAAUGCUGCUUGUUUUGCACAAGCUGACAAGGACACUAGCUAGAGUGCACUGCUGUUCCUCUUCUUGCAUGCAACAUAAUAUGAAAUUCAUUCAGUUCAACUGUGCGUAAACACUAUAGUGUACAACUAUCAACUUGUUUCACUAUUCAGUUUGUCACCCAUUCAGCUUACUUACUGGGGCAUCUUUCUUGUAAGAGUUUACUUAAAAUAGAUUGUAGUUUCUUUCUUGUUUGUUUUGAUACCCAUAUACCUGCCCUGUAUUAGCUCUUUCCUUUUGUGCAUGUUAAUUCAGCGUUUGUGUUGAUUUGAUGCCAAUGUUCAGAAACAAGAUUUUUGAUGGAUGGGUUUAUGUGUUCUGCUGGUAUAUAUGCACGCUAGUAUAUAUGCACACGGAUUGGCCUUCAUUAUUUUGUAUCUACUGUUAGAUAUAUGCUGUUAGAUUUGCUUUCAUUUUGUACCUAACCAUUUUGUUCUAUAACGUGCAGAUGCUGGCGUUUCAUGUUUCGUCGCGAGCAUCAAGACGAAGAAGUCGGAAGAAGCAUAGUUCAAGCUCAUCGGAGCUAGUUCAAGGAGUAAUGAAGCCCUUGAUGCUGAUCCAUAUUGGAACAAAUUGAAGCAUGAACUGUGACAUAUAGAGCUUGUUAUACUGUAGAGCUUGAUGCUCAUCGGCUCAUGUGACAUAUUGUACACCUGUAGAGCUUGUUAUACUGUGAUCGCAUUUGUAUGUGUUGAUGUUACAGAUUGUUGCUUCUUGUUAUUUGAAGUAUUACACCUGUUUUCUGUCUAUUUUGAUUUAAAUAUUGGUCGUUUAAUUAUUGGCAUAUUGAAAUCUGAGGAACAUGACCAUGACAACAAGGACCCACAAACCAAAAACGGACAUUUGGGACCCGCUUAUCAGAAUCUGACAAUUGGGACCCAUUUGAAAAAGGAAAAAGAAGGGCCACAACCCAAAAAUAAAAAGGCUGAAUUAUAGGGCCUGGCUCGUGUAGCUUACCCAAAUUGAAAGAAAAAAACAACAAAUGGGCUGAAUUAAUGGGCUCGGCCCAUAUAAACACCCAAUUGGACCGGGCCGAUUCUAAUUUUUGACCUUUUUAAUUGGUCACAAUUUUGCCACGUCAGAUUGCCACGUCGGAUCCGACGUGGCCUGGGCAGACAGCGAGUGACCAAAACAAAAGGUCAUGGGUUCAACGACCUUCUGAGAGAAGGUCGUUAAUUUCAGUUUACGACCGCCAGCUUUUGACCUUCUGUUUUUGGUCACAAAAAGGUCGCAAAUGAAAAACUAUGACCUUUCAGCGGCCAAUAGUGAGGGUCACAAGUUGACAUAUUUCUUAUAGUGGGGGGUCGAGGAAAAACUAAGGAAAAGUUUCCAAGUGAUGCUCAACUCAGAAUCCUACACCUACCAAUCCCUUCGAGUGAAGCCAUUGGAAAUCUCAUACAGCUCAGUCAAUUUCUUCAGUGACAGAGAUGAAGUUCUUCUAGUCUCUGAGGAAUUUGUUCUGACUGAGGAGUUAGGAAUUCGCUAGUGCGGAUUGCCUACAAGUGAGGAACAUGAUAGCCCUGAGGAAUAUGAGAGCUCAAAUUUCUGACCGUUGUUGUGCUAUGUGCCAGCUGUCCCAAAAUAUCUUAUCCACCUAACGGUCAUAUCAUUGAAGGACAUUUAUGUCUUAUCAUGUCGGGCUGCUCCCUAGGCUAUAAAUAGCCGCCCCUUACAACCACUAGCUGGUUGGCUGCUCCAAAAGAAACUGACACUUGUCAUUAAGAGCAUCCCAUCCUCCGAGGACUUUGAGCGAAAAAUAAUCAAGUGAGGAAAAACCCAAACCGAAACACCUACAAACCCGAAGUGAUUGAGCAUCACUGAAGAGAUUGUUCCUGUGUGGAUCCGACGCUUGUUACCUUUGAAGACUGUGCAUCUUCCAGACGGUUAGGCGUCAUGGUCUAGAGCAUCCAAGAGGAAAUUGUGGAUUGCCGAGUGACCGAGUUUGUGAAGGUUUGGAGGUCACAUGAAGACUUACCACGAGUGAUUGGGCGAGGUCUGUGUGAUCUUAGCUCAAGGAGAGUACGGUGAGGACUGUGUCUCCUCAGGUUUAAAUACCUAGCCGCUCCAACCAGACGUACAACUGUCACAGCAAUUGGAACUGGUCUACCAAAUCACUGUCUUCACCAAGCCUACUAGUUCUAUUUACUCAACUCUUCCAUUUCCUCAUUACUUUGUUGUGUACCUGAUCAUCUCUGUUUGCAGACUUUGACUGAAGACUUUCUCAAUUUCCUCAGUUCAAUUUCUUCAGUCAGUUUGUCUUCAGCCUGCUUAUUCUAUGUUAUGGUUUCUGUUCUGUGUAUUAGCUUUCAUUUCAUCAUGAUGUAUAUGUGUCUGUUCUCUUAUGUAUACCUCUGAGUACUUAUUCCGCUGCUAGUAGUUCUUUGCUUAGGAAUUUCCUCACCCUAAAAUUCCUUAGUGAAGAAUUCAUAAAAAUCACCUAUUCACCCCCCUCUAGUCGACUUAACGCACUUUCAUUUUGAUGAUGGUUGUGUGUCUGAUGUUAAAUGGAAUCUUGAGAUGGUUGUGUGACGUUGGUUUGGUUUGUAGUGGACGUAUUACCAUUCAUGAAUACUACAUCUAACUUUUAUUUUUUUAAUUCCUAAAUUGUUAGUAGUAGCUUGGCGUAAAGUUGAGCGCCACUAGUAGUUAGGUUAGUAGUAGCGUGGGUGUUAGGUUAGUAGUAGUGCGGGUGCACCUGCGCUACUACUAAUCAUUUAGUAGUAGCGUGGGUGCACCCACGCUACUACUAACCACUUAGCUAUAGCGCGAUACUAGUAGUGAGGGUACCCGCACUACUAGUAGCCAAUUUACCCACGCUACUAGUAGCCUUUUUCCUAGUAGUGAUAUCACCUGCCUCAGAAAACACAACCCCAACUGCAGCACACUUUAGCCCUACUCCACUGGACACAGCACUAGCUUCACCACACAGGACCCGCAUUGUUGAAAAAGGUAUGCGAAUUCUAAUUGUCAUAGCACCAGCUGUACCACAGACAACCUCCACUCAAAAAAGUGUACCUACUCCACUGGCCAAAGCCCUAUGAGAACUGCAAAGAGCCCAAAUUCAUGCAUACAAGAACCUCAUUCCAUCUAUUCCCACUUUAGAUUACAAUGCAUUUAUUCUUGUUAGGAACUUUGUGCGUAUCUUCCCAUCAUGGGAAGAUUAUUGUCAAGACACACACCAAUUUCAGAUCUUCCUCCGCAACUUACGUGCAAGUAAUGUUAUUCAUGCUAAUUACUGCCUAGCUAUGUGCUGAAUAUAACAACAAUCAUUCCAUUUCUUUUAAUUAGGUGACAACCGAUCUGAAUAGUCACGACGAGAAAAGCCCGAUUAUGCUUUUCAAGCGUGUGUUGUGGCAGUAUCAUCACUACCUGAGGGUAACACACUUUGAUUGAAAGCCUCGAAAUGGAAUUUCUGUAAAGUCUCUUGAAAUACAUUUACAAGAUGUUGACUGGAAUAAGCUUUUUAUGCACUGGUUUCUUGCCCAGCGUCAGGUACUGUCUACGAUAUCAAAUAAAAAUUUGAACUCCUACAUUUCUGCAUGUGCCUUACCAUCUCUCUUCUAUGAAUACUACUUGCAGAUGAAUAUCCAUUCACAAGUGAUCAUAGGAUCUCACAACAAUACUAUGCACUGCAUUGCUCUGGUGAGUAACUCUUGCCCUUUAUCACCAUACUUACACUCAUUCUUGUUUGAUUAUGUAGCAUCAGUAUGCAUGUUAGCUUCCUUAUCCACCUUUUUCUUGAAAUCAUGAUAUCUAUAUUUACUCUUACAUAAAUUAGAAUAAACCAAAUGGUUAUGAAGUUCUGGAUUGCUCUUGUAAGUACAUGUUGUCAUGUACUCCCUUCGUAUCGAAUUACUUGUUGCUCAAUUGGAUGUAUUCAGAACUAAAAUAGUGCUAGAUACAUCCAUUUCAGCGACAAGUAAUUCCGAAGGGAGGUAGUAUUAAUGUACUUACAUUGAGAGAUAGUUGAUUAUCUAGCAUUACUAUACAUCUUAUCUAACCUACCCUCCAUUUUCUUCAAAUUAUCAUAUCUACAUUUACUCUUACCAAAAUGUUGAAUAAAGCAAAUGCCACUUCACAAGUUGAGGUAUGCAUUCCUCUUGCCAGUACCUUUUGCCUUGUAAUGAUGUACUUAAUUGAUAGCUAUUUGAUCACGUAUCAUCACUCUGCAUCUGAGCUUCAUUAUCCUCUAUUUUUCCAAUAUUGUUAGAUCUAUAUUUACUCUUUACAGAAUGUAGAAUAAAGGCAACGCUUAUGAAGAAGUUUCUUUGAGGAGUUUCUUGAAUUAUCCUUCCAUCGACAUAGAGAAGGUAUUUGUAGAGCCCGUGUUAACAUGUAAUGUAACUCCGUCCUUCUCAAGCCUUAAAACUUUGUUCUAGUAUUGAUUUGGAUAUGCAUCAUUUCCUCCACUUCUGUUUACUUCGGUGUUUGCAUCAGAUUGCAUGUUUGCAACAAUUGUCAGUUUGAAAUUGUAGUUGUAAAAACAUGUUCCUUAUUCAUACCAUCCACAUUAAUCAGAACAGAUCUAAUGAUUUUCUUUAGAUCUACAUGUAUGCCUAGAUAUCUAACCCGGUGGUGUGGUGAAGCUGCCCAUGCCUACAUCAUCUCAUUUCCUCCUUUGUCUUAACUAAUUUUGCCGAUGAUACGGACAAUGCCAUAUUUUUUUACCAUGAAGAUUGCAGGGCUUACACCCCAUAACAUUUUAUUAAUAAGAAUAAAAAUUAUAAGGAGCAUAUGUACAAGUUCCUACAGAGGAGGGAACUAAAAAAAGUAAAAGAACGGGAAGAAAAAACUACCUCUACAACCUAUGGUGUCAAAAAAUCAAUCCAUCUGAGGAGAGUAUCCUUGUAUCUACCUUUUAUUCUAUGAGUGAGAAGGGUGAUGUCAUGGAUAAGCCCACUUCUCCACUGUCUAAAAGAUUGCCUUAUGUGUCUGAAGGCUUUGUCAUUUCUGACCUUCCAAAUAUUCCACCAUGCCAAAAAGACUAGCUCAUCAUAAAAGGGUUUGUUAAAGUCAUUUCUGGCCCCGAAAGCAAUUGCCACCAUCUCAUUACUGCUUGGCCAAACAAUCUGCAGAUAGUUCCAUAUUCUGACACUGAAAUUGCACUGAAAAAAGAUGAUUUUUGUGUUCCAAGGCACACUAUGGGCCAUCAUCAAUUCUCCAAUGUCUGCGCUGGAUCAUGUCUUUGUUGUUUACUCUAUCCAUAAUGAACAAGCAUGCAAACAUCUUGAUUGACAUGGUACAACUUCUCUUCCAGACCCAAUUUAAAACUGGGUUUACAACAAUUGGCAGGUGUAUGAAAGUGUAAAACUUCUUCGCUGUGUAGUCAGAUACCUUGCCAUAUCUCCAAAGCCAUUCAUCAUUAGACAAAUGAUCAUACUGCAACGUGAUACCUCUCCAGUGUAUCUAAAAUUUAUGAAGUAUUCAUGCUGUUAUAUUAUCAUUCUUGGAUGUUUUACAAUCAUUUUAUAGCAACUUUAUAUCAUUUUUUGGGACUAACCUAUUGACCCAGUGCCCAGUGCCAGUUGUUGUCUUUUGCUUGUUUUUUACAUCACAGGAAAUCAAUAUCAAACAGAGUCCAGACACCGCGAAACUAUUUGUGGAUUUUUUAUGGACCAGAAGACCACCGAUGGGCCAGAGCAGCACCUGGGGGGUGCCCCGAGGGGGCACAACCCACCAAGGCACGCCUGGGGGCCCAGGCGCGCCUAGGUGGGUUGUGGCCACCUCGGUGGCCUCUCGCACCCCUUAUUCGCCCUAUAAAUUCCCAAAUAUUCCAAAAACCCUGGGGUAGCCCUAGAUCAUAAGUUCCGCCGCCGCAAGGCCUUUGCAUCCACGAGAUCCAAUCUAGACCCCGUUCUGGCACCCUGUCGAAGGGGGGAUCAUCACAGGUGGCCAUCUUCAUCAUCCCGGCGGCCACCACGAUGAGGAGGGAGUAGUCAACCCUUGGGGCUGAGGGUUUGUACCAGUAGCUAUGUGUUUAAUCUCUCUCUCUCUCUCUCUCUCUCUCUCUCGUGUUAUUGAGAUGGCACGAUCGUGAUGUAUCGCGGGCUUUGUUAAUGUAGUCGGAUCAAAUGGCAUUUUCCCCUCUCUAUCUUGUUGUGAUGAAUUGAGUUUUUCCCUUUGAGAAUUUGUUGUUAUCGGAUUGAAUACUUUUGUGGAUUUGAGAGCACUUGAUAUAUGUCUUGCAUAUGAGUACUCGUGGUGACAAUGGGGUAUCAUAUUGAUUCACUUGGUAUGUGUUUUGGCAUUCAACUCGCAGAUUCCCGCGAUGACAUUGGGGUAAUCUAUGCAUAGGGGUUGAUGCACGUUCUCGUCUUUAGUUUCUCUGGUAGAAAUCUUGGGGCACUCUUUGAAGUUCUUUGUGUUGGAUUGAGUAUUAUGAAUCUGAAUUUGCUUUGGUGUUAUUUUAGUACGAACUCUAGGAUAGAUCAAACAGAAAGAAUAGCUUUCUGUUAUUUUAGUACGAACUCUUGAAUAGAUCGAACGGAAAGAAUAGCUUUGAGGUGGUUUUGUACCCUACAAACAAUUUCAUCUUAUGUUCUCCGCUAGAUAAGAACUUUGGAGUGAUUCUUCGUUGCACGUUGAGGGAUGGUUAUGUGAUCCAAUUAUAUUAGCAUUGUUGAGAGAUUGCACUACCGAAAGUAUGGACCCUAGGCCUUCUUUCUAAGCAUUGCAAUACCGUUUCUGUGCCCGUUUACUAUUUGCUACCUUGCUAUUUUUAUUUAUUCAGAUUAUAAAAUAUAUAUUUCUACCAUCAAUAUUACACUUUUAUCACCAUCUCUUCGUCGAACUAGUGCACCUAUACAAUUUGCCAUUGUAUUGGGUGUGUUGGGGACACAAGAUAUUUCUUGUAUUUGGUUGCAGGGUUGUUCGAGAGAGACCAUCUUCAUCCUACACCUCCCACGGAUUGAUAAACCUUAGGUCAUCCACUUGAGGAAAAAUUGCUACUGUCCUACAAAACUCUGCGCUUGGAGGCCCAACACGAGUCUACAAGAAUAAAGUUGCGUAGUAGACAUCACAACGUUACCAUCAUAUCAGAUAGGUGGUUAAGCUCUAGAAAGGCCAUCUCCUAUAGAGGAAGAGUGAAAAUUCAUAAAUAUUGUCACAAUCCAUAAAGUCCUUAACAGAAAUGGCUUUAUCUGAACAGAAAGAGUGUAACCUUGGAAAUCUUGCCUGUAGAGGGGUGAAGUCAUUAUCAAUCUCCCAAUGGUCAGACCAGAAUAGGACAGUAUCCCCAGAAUUCACCUUAACCUUGGUGACUGACCUAAAUUUAUCCAUGAGCUUUGAGACAACUCUCCACCAGAAAGAACCACAUAAAGUGGUGUCGUGUGGAAUUCUACCAAAGUAGUAAGAAUUCCAUAUUAAAUGAACUCAGGGAACAUCAGCCUUGUUGUAGAACUUGUUGAGAUGCUUCAUGAGAAGAGCUUUUUCUGCAGACCCAAGUUUAAAAUUCCCAGACAUCCCCUAUUCUUGGGCCUACAAACCAAGGGCCAACCUGCCAAAGAGUGACCCUUUUCCUGGCCAUAUUUUUUCCAAAGACACUAUCUUUAGAUUCUUUCCACUUGCUUGAUAAUACCAGGGGGAAUGGAUAAACUGCAGAGAAAAUGAAUUGGCAAGGAGGAGAUUACAGAAUUGACCGAUUAAAGUUUGCUUCCUUGAGGCAAAAACCAAGAGCUAGAAGUGGUUCUCCUCUCACUACAAGAAAUAUGUCAACUUGUGACCUUGACUAUUGGUCACUGAAAGGUCAUUGUUUUUCAUUUGCGACCUUUUUGUGACCAAAAACAGAAGGUCAAAAGCUGGCGGUCGUAAACUGAAAUUAACGACCUACUCUGUGAGAAGGUCGUAGACGUUUAGGACCAAAAUAUGCCUACUGUUUUGUUUUGGUCACUAGCAGCCUCCCCAGGCCACGUAGGCAUCCGACGUGGCAAUCUGAUGUGGCACAAGAAUUAGCCCGGUCCAAUUCGAUUUUCUACAUGGGCCUAGCCAACCAAUUCGGCCUUUUUAUAUAUUUUUUCUAUCAAUUUUUGAUCGGCUUCAUGGGCCAAGCCCAACAUUGCAACCUUUUUUAUUGUUGGGUUGUGGCCUUUUUGUCUAAACGAAUUUAGUUUUUCUUUUCUUUUCCAAAAGAAGGGUCCACUACUCAGAUGGGUCCCAGUUGUUAGGUUCCGGUAACUGGGUCCCAUUUGUCAUGUUCUGGUAAGUGGGUCCCAUCUAUCAGGCUCAUAUUCUUCAUAUUUGAAUCAGUAUUUAAAUGGACAGACAAAAAGCACACAUAAUACUUCAACCAGAUCCUUACAACUGUAAUACAGUGGCAAUCACAGUAAUGACUACAAGUGUAAUACAGUACUUUACAAGCUUUACAAGCAAUCACAAACUGGCACCUGCUCCCAUCAUGAAUAUGCCAAACUCACAACAUGCCAAACUCGUUGGACUACCAUAGUGAUAUGAACAACAUGCCGAACUAGCUGGACAACCAUAGUUAGGGCUGGGAACAAACAAAACGGCCUUCAAGAAAAUAGACAACAUGCCUUCCUCGGUCGCCCUGUUACAUGAAUCAGUAGAGAAGAAUCAAAAAACUGGGGCAAAUAUAUUACCAACAGACCAUUCAAGAAAAGGAUAGCUAUUUAGAAUGACAACACACAAAUUGGGCUAGUACCAUGCUUUUUGUUCUCCAGCUAGUUAAAAUGAGAUACUCUCCUACAAGAAAACAGCGACACAAUAUGAAAGUUAACAGUAGGGAUGCCAUAGUUGAAAUGAGCAAGCUAUUUUGUAUGUGAGAAACAAAAAAUGCACCAAUAAUUUUUCAGAAGGCAACUGAACUUCAGUGCACACAUUUAGAUAGAAAGAAGGGCUUGAACUAUACACAUUAAUUAGAACAGGAUCAAAAACACCAAUGUAAGCUAGAAUUGACAAGUACACUGCAGGAUUCAAUUCGUCUUCCCCAUAUACAGCAACCAACAGACAUCUAACAUCAUUAUUUUACCGCAAAAGAUCGGCCCAUAGCAAUAGAAGCACAAAAUUUAAGCACGCAAGCACAUUAUAGCAGGUAGUAAUAGAAGCACAAAAUUUGAGCUUGCAAGCACAUAAUAGCAGGUAGGGAAGUGGGAAGAUGAACUAAUUUAGAUGCCAAUUGAUAACAUACAACACACCUCAUCCACAUCAAUACACUUAUAAGACAAUUGGACAAUGACACAAGCAUUUCCACAAACAAUUCAUGUUGACGAUUAAGUUGUGUAAUACAUAGGGCAAUUAGACUAGUGCGAACAAGAAGAUAAUUUACAAGUUACAAACUAUAAUAGCAAAUGGCCAAAUGUUCCAACCAAGAUCAACCAGAGCAUGCAAGAGAUGGAGAGAUCCACCACGGACUAAAACAAAUUACCACAGACUAGACGUGCAGGUGCAUAUGCUUGUGAGCAGAAAUGGAAGCAAAUGUGGGCACCAUAGCAGUAGCACACCCCACAUUGAGAUCCUUGGCGCUGAACAUUGAGAGAAAUCAGAUCUGCAUUUCAGAGUGGAGAGUAAUCAUUGAGAGCUGCAGUUUAGCCAUUUACUGGAUGUUUGCGUGAAUCAAUUAGUUUGAUUGAUAGAGACUGUACUGCAAACUAAUGGUGGGUGCUAAAUCUGAAGAGCUAAAUAAGAAGAGGAAACAGAACAUACCUUGUGUUGUCCUAAAGCAAGCAAACUGCAGAGUUCUGCCGGGCACACCAGAAAGAUAAUCUACAAUUAACAAACCAUAAUUCGCAAAUGGCCAAAUGUUCUAAUUAAGAUGAACAAAGGAAACGUGAUUUGAUUCAGAGGAUCCACUACAGCAGACUAAGAAGGAACAAAAAACAUUACCAGGACGAAGGGAUGCUCUUGAAACCUCCAUGCUUGACCUUUCAUAUCAGUACAGUAGGCACUGCAAGUGAAUGACAAAGAAGAAAGUGAUAUGCAUAAAUAACUCAUCCAUCUGUGUUCAUAUUUUAAUUUCAAUAGCAUGGUACACCCAUAAAGAACAACAGUUUGCUACCUACUAGCAAACUAUAAGACCUGAAUCAUAUAGUAUAAAUGAAUCAAGAAAACAAGAACUGACAACGAGAACUGCAUACUAGUGCACCAAAUGAUCAACAGCAAGCAUAGUAUAUUCACAUAAGUUUGAUAGUGUCACAGAAUUAAGCAGUGCAGGUAAACAUCAUCAUCGGUGUGUAAUUGCCAAUAUAAACAAGCCAUGUAGAAAUGACAAGUUACAGAAACUGCAUCACAAAUAUGAUUUGCCUUUGGUGUUUGCCAUACAACAACAGCAGUAGUUGAUCAUGGAAUCUAACAGAGUUUAGCUUAUGCAGGGCAGACAUAACUGACACAAAAAUCAUACAGUUCAGAUCAGGAAUAAACCAAACAAGCAAACAUCCAAUACAGCUAAACUAAGCACAGAACCACAACAUGAAGAGUAAACCAAUCACUGUAUAGGAGGCUUGGACUGCAUACAUGGUCGUCCUUGAGGUAGAGGACCAUCUUGGUACCCCUGCCGAGCUGCUCCCCAGACAUAUCACAAGUGACGGUGAAAGAACGACCAGCCUGGGACUCCCACACGUACUGCUCGUCAUUGUUGUGUUUCAUGCUGAUGACGACCCUCUCGGCAAGCGAUAUGGGGUAGAAGCCAACACCGAACUGCUCCUUCUCGGUGGUCUUCUCAGUCCACAGGGAGAUGGGGCGCUCCUCAAGGUAUUCCAUCUGAAAGCAAAUUGUAUCAAAUAAGACAAUGAGCAGAAAGAAUGUGCAAACCAAUACUGUAAAGAAAAAAGAUUUGAAGAACAGGCAAACAUACAACAAUACUAUAUCAAAAAUAAACUACGAGAACACAUAGAAAUUCCAUUAAGAUGCAUAAUUCCAGAAUAUCAAUUUUUAACAGUUCCAUAAUGCAGUAUUACAAUUAAAACAGAUAUAAUGUUUAAUUGUAAGAGGCCAGAACCAUAUAAAUUACUAAAUACAAGGAAAGCAUACAUUAUCAAUUAAUAGAGAGGGUCAAUCAAUAAGGAUGAGUUAACCCGUGCAUUCCUCAUGUAUGCAUGCAUUAGAAUAUAGUUAACAAAAAGCACAUCAUCAAUUUAAUUAUUUCACCAUCAAAUCUAAAGUAAUACUACCAAUCAUAGUUAAAAUGGCUGGGAUGCAACUCAUAUCUAUAAGCAGGUUCCAUACUACAACCAGCACAGAUCUGAAAUGAGCUGAGUUCAGGUAUGAUAAAAUCCUGGGUGGUUCAUCAACUAAUCAUCAUGACAAAGAUUAACUGGCAUUGACUAAACUUGGCCUUAGUACAAGUGAAACUAUGACUACAAGAAUAGCACCACCAUGACCAGUGGGCUGCUCUACUUCUGCUAGCAACUACAAGAACGGUAGCACAUCAAGCAUCAGCGACCAUACGUGUUUCAGAGAAGGGAAAUCCCCAAACCCAGCGCCUCCGGAGCGAACCAGAUCGGAUCCGAAGUGUUGGGUCAGAAGAUGGGCGGUGGCACAGAUGAAAAGGGAAGCGAGAGGGGAAGGGGACCUGGAAGGGCUCCAUGGAGUCGGAGCAGCCGAGCCGCCGCCGGCUCCCUCCUCGCGCGGAGCGGAAGAGCGGCGUCAAAUCCCACCCACCGCAUGGCUGUGUCGUCGCCCGAGAAGAAACGCACGUGGGCACCUCCCGCGGCGCACGAUUGUGGGGAAGGAGAAAACCUCCAGCAUCUCCGUCGCGGCCAAGCUCGAAUCCCGUGACGAUGAGGUGGAGGGGGCGCGUAUGCGCUGUGGCCGUCGCGGAUCUCGGAGAGUCGUCUGACCGGCUCCAUCUUGGGCCUAUGUAGGGAAAGAAGGCGAGGGGGAGGGUGGAUGUCACCGGCGGAGGGUGAGGGAAUUGGAGAGGACGGCGGUGGAGGGCGAGAGGGCAACGACGGCGGAGGGUGAGGGAAUUAGUGCGCGCAACAGCGGCAUCGUCGUGCUCCGGGCGCGGUCGUAGGAGGGGUUGCGGAGCCAGCAUAGAGGGUACGGUGCCGGCCGUGGAGACGAGGCUGCGGUGCUGGCCAUGGAGCGCAGAGAGGAGGAGGGCGGCGCGACCAAGCGCGAGGAUGGAUCUGGGGAGUCGAGGAGAGAGGGUGGGUGAGCGGUGGGUGGGUGAGUUGGGGUGGCGGCAGGUGGGGAUCUGGGGAAUCGAGGGGAGGGUGGGUGGGUGGGUUAGGGUUUUUGAUCUCAGGAGAAGCUCCACCAUUGGAUAGGUGCAUGAUGGAUGGCUCAGAUUGCGUCCAAUUUGGUGAUCCGCGUGAAGGCGGUUCCUCCCGUCUUAUUGGCCGGUUGUCUCGCACUUGAAUCUCAAAAUUUUAGACCCAAAACUCUGAUUUUGUUAAACAUAAUAAUGGCAUAGUUUGUCAAAAUGAUCUCGUUUUUUGCAUAAGUGUGCAUCUUGGAAUGGCAAACAACGUCAUAGUUCGACAGCUUUCAUUUUCUUUGCACAAAAAAAUUAUUUUCAUUUUUCGAGUGCAUAAAAAGGUUUUUUGUGAAGAAGCUACCAAAUAUUUGUUCUAAAAUAGCACAACUCCAUUUUUCCAAAAUAUUAGACCAUAUUUUAUGUAAAAUUGACCAAAUAGUUACAUGUCAAAAGUUUUUGAUCCACCUCUUAUGAAAAAAACAAAGUUCACCCAUUGAGUAGGAAGCGGGGCAAAUUUGAGCAAAAAUUACCUCAUAGUUUGUUCAAAUGAUCAUAUAUUGUGCACAAGGGUGCAUCUUGGAAUUCCAAACAAUGUUGCCUAAGGGAGUUUUCAUUUUCUUUGCACGGAAAUUUCAUUUUCCAUUUUCUGAGUGCCCGAAAUGAGUUUUUUUGUGAAGGACCUACCAUAUAUUUGUUGCAAAAUUGGACCACAUCAAUUUUGUAAAAUACUAGGCCAUAUUUAAUGCACAAUUGACCAAAUGGUUGGGUGUCAAAAGCCUUGAUCCACCUCUGGUGAAAAAGAACAAUUUCUGCCGAUUCAGUAGGAAGCGGGUCAAAUUUCAACUGCAGUUGCCUCAUAGUUUGCUCUUUAUUUUUUACAAAAAUAAUUUAGAGGUAAAUAAGUAUCUAUUUAAUAAGAGAAACAUCAAAAGUUUUCCAAGUUUCAACCACUAGCUUGGAACAGUCAAGCCCGCCGUUUUAACCCCAUUUUGAAAUGGGCAUAAAAAAUUCAAAAAAAUCAAAAAAUUGGAAAACCUUCGCAUUGUGUCAUUAUAUGUGACAAAGUUGCCAGAAAAAAUAAUAAACUUGUAAUGCGGCAAUUAUUUUAAAAAAGUGUUCUCAGAAACGAGCUAUCAUGCAUGAAGAUUCAUGGCUUUCAAGCCAAAUGAUCAAUCUUAUGGCCACAUUCAUGGCAUAGUUUAUUCAAAUGAUCUCAUAUUGUGCACAAUGGUGCAUCUUGGAAUUCCAAACAAUGUUUCCUAAGGGAGUUUUCAUUUUCUUUGCACGGAAAAUUCAUUUUCCAUUUUUGAGUGCCCGAAAAGAGGUUUUUUUUGUGAAGGACCUACCAUAUAUUUGUUGCAAAACUGUACCAAAUCAAUUUUCUAAAAUACUAGGACAUAUUUAAUGCACAAUUGACCAACUGGUUGGGUGUAAAAAGUUUUGAUCCACCUCUCGUGAAAAAGAUAAAUUUCCGCCGAUUCAGUAGGAAGCGGGUCAAAUUUGAACUGUAGCUGCCUUGUAGUUUGCUCUUUAUUUUUUCCAAAAAUCAUUUAUAGGUACAUAAGUAUCUAUUUAAUCAGAGAAACACCAAAAAAAUUCCAAGAUUCAACCACUAGCUAGGAACGGUCAUUCCCGCCGUUUUCACCGCAUUUUGAAACGGGCAUAAAAAAUUCAAAAAAAUCAAAAAAUUGGAAAACCUUCGCAUUGUUUCAUUAUAUGUGGCCAAGUUCCCAUAAAAAUAACAAACUUGUAAUACGGCAAUUAUUUUAAAAAAGUGUUCUCAGAAACGAGCUAUCAUGCGUGAAGAUUCAUGGCUUUCAAGCCAAAUGAUCAAUCUUAUGGCCACAUUCAUGGCAUAGUUUAUUCGAAUGACCUCAUCUUGUGCACAAUGGUGCAUCUUGGAAUUCCAAACAAUGUUUCAUCAGGGAGUUUUCAUUUUCUUUGCACGGAAAAUUCAUUUUCCAUUUUUCGAGUGCCCGAAAAGAGGUUUUUUUGUGAAGGACCUACCAUAUAGUUGUUGCAAAAUUGGACCUAAUCAAUUUUAUAAAAUACUAGGACAUAUUUACUGCACAAUUGACCAAGUGGUUGGGUGUAAAAAGUUUUGAUCCACCUCUCGUGAAAAAGACAAAUUUCCGCCGAUUCAGCAGGAAGCGGGUAAAAUUUCAACUGCAGUUGCCUCGUAGUUUGCUCAUUAUUUUUUAAAUGAUUUCUAGGUACAUAAGUAUCUAUUUAAUCAGAGAAACACCAGCAAAACUCCAAGAUUCAACCACUAGCUAGGAACGGUCAUUCCCGCCGUUUUGACCACAUUUUGAAACGGGCUUUAAAAAUUCAAAAAAAUCAAAAAAUUGGAAAACCUUCGGAUUGUGUCAUCAUAUGUGCCAAAGUUUCUAGGAAAAAUAAUAAACUUGUAAUACGGAAAUUAUUUUUAAAAAGUGUUCUCAAAAAUGAGCUAUCAUGCGUGAAGAUUCAUGGCUUUCAAGCCAAAUGAUCAAUCUUAUGGCCACAUUCAUGGCAUAGUUUGUUCAAAUGAUCUCAUAUUGUGCACAAGGGUGCAUCUUGGAAUUCCAAACAAUGUUUCCUAAGGGAGUUUUCAUUUUCUUUGCACGAAAAAUUCAUUUUCCAUUUUCUGAGUGCCUGAAAUGAGUUUUUUUUGUGAAGGACCUACCAUAUAUUUGUUGCAAAAUUGGACCAAAUCAAUUUUCUAAAGUACUAGGCCAUAUUUAAUGCACAAUUGACAAAAUGGUUGGGUGUCAAAAGUUUUGAUCCACCUCUGGUGAAAAAGACAAAUUCCCGCCGAUUCAGUAGGAAGCGGGUCAAAUUUGAACUGCAUCUGCCUCAUAGUUUGCUAUUUAUUUUUUCCAAAAAUUGUUUCUAGUUACAUAAGUACCAAUUUAAUCAUAAAUACAUGGUUUGGUGGCGAUACGUCGAGGUUUGGACGGUGGCCGAGGGCCCCAACUCUAGAGCGCGUAAACUCGCAUGCCCGCCGCAUGGUCACCGCGUGACCGUGGCAUUGCCAUGUGUUCUGGGUGGCCUAGGCAUGUCUAGUGGGUUGGGCACUCCCCAGGUAGGUGCUAGGAAGAAAAUCACAACAUAAGAUUCUAACGAGGAGACCGAUCGAUGCUCAAACAUGAAUAAGCAGCCAAGUGUUUGAUUAGCGGUACGGGAAAUGCACAUGGUUAAUGGGCGUGAGUUUUGUCUGAGGAUGAUCAGUUACUAAGAAGCCCGUCUUCACAAAUUUUCAGCUAAAAAGGAGGAGCCUAGGUGGUACUUGCUUUGCAAAGUACCACACUGGACAUAAAUACAAAUGUUGAAGCUGGGCUCAAAAUAAUGAAGGGAUUGAGCUGGCAUUUGGUGGAGGAUGGUUAUUUGGGCAUUGGAAAGCACUGUAGAAAAUGGAUACGAUUUGGACAUGCCAAAGUGGUACUUCCUUCACAAAGUGUUUUUUGAACAGAAUAGGGAAAUGGAUAUUUUUGAAUUAUUUUUGAACUAGGCAAUUAAGGUUUUUUACAUAUUUGACGAAGAUAUGACCCAAAGAAUUUAUGAGAUUUUUUUGGGAAUUUUGGGAAUGACAGAAAUAUAGGUUGCUUCACAACCUAUGGCAAAAACUGCCACAUGGACAUGACACAUAGGCAAAACUGAUGAGGUGGCGCCUAGUCAUGGCAACCCACCACAAUUUACAAGGUUAUGACCAUCUAUAUUGGUCAUGAUCAGCUAGAAAUAAGGCAGCGGACCUGUACUAUCUGCUUUAUGACCAUUUCGUGUAAGGAAAUUACGACCUUUCUGACCAAAAUGGUCGUUAUAGUUUAGGGUUUGGAGCCCCCCGAACAGCUUUUGACCAAUUGGUCUGAAAUGGUCAUAGAUCUAUGACCAAUUCUUCCAGGGUCACUGACAUAAGGUCACUAGUUGACAUAUUUCUUGUAGUGUCUCCAUGCAAUCCAUAAGAGGCAUCAUAUCUAAAAUUUUAGGUCUUGUAGUUCCCACAGGCAGUCCUAAAUAUAUGAAGGGCAUCACACCAGUCUGACAACCAAACUCUACAGCUAGUGCAGAAGCUUCCACCUUGUUGGGGAUAUAACUAUUGAGUGUAAACCGCCCAGGAGGGGCCGGGUUAUGCUCAUGAUGAUUUACCGGUAUUGAAGCCCAUGAAGACACAGAAGAUGGCGACUUAUGAAGGAGACUUAAUAAGAAGGCCCGAAGCCCAAAGGCGGGUUAGGGCCCAUAGAUGUGAAAUGCCAUAGGUGUAUGACUUGUAUUGUAAGAUAGGAAAGAGUGGAUACCGAGCUGGACAUGAUUAUGAGCCGGCCGGGAUUCUGUGAACCGCCGGGCGUCAACCUGAGUAUAUAAAGGGACGACCCGGCGGCGGUUUAGGGACAAAAAAUAACAGAUCGAGAGCCAGGCUAAGCGUAUUCGCUCCCUGGUCAUCAAAACCCUAGCAAUACCACCUCAAACUGGAUUAGGCCUUUACCUUCACCGCAAGGGGCCGAACCAGUAUAAUUCCCUGUGUCCUUUGACCCGAUUAACCCCUUUAAGUUAACCACGUUGCGAUGGCUCCACGACUAAGUCCUCACACUAGGACAUCUACCGUGACAAACCCACGAUAGUUGGCGCCCACCAUGGGGCCAGCGCACGGUGGUUUCGAGUUCUUAAAGGGCAACUUCGAAGGGAUCAAGGGAUACGCUGUGGGCCGGAUGACCAAGAGUCAUCGCGGCAAGCUCUACAUCGACGAUGCAGGCUGGGGCCCCGAGGCCGGCUCAAUUGAAUACGGGUACCGGGUCCCCUUUGGUGGAAUUCAUGUCUUCAUUGGCAAGAUCGGCUAACCGGGCCCUGAGCCGGACAUCUACACCGACAUCAUCGAGACGGCUCAGCGUGGAAGACCCGCCCGAGUUCAGCCCGCCAUGACUCAUGCCUUCGUGGGAUUCAUCCAUGGUGCGGAACCUGAGGAUAGAUCAGUAUCUGACGGUGAGACAGUUGUCUACUCGGAUGGCGAGUCAUCCAACGGUGAGACCGAGUCAUUGUAUCAACUGCAAGACGGCCGGCUUGGGGGUUGUUCCGAUGGCGACAGUAUUCCGGACCCCUAUAAGCCGCCGAACAUGAUCGCGAUCUUCAUGGCCGGAACACAGCCAGUGCAGCACUCAUCAACUGCCAUAGAGAUGAUUUCCGGAUCAGCGGCGGCAACGGCUGUCGGGGCAGGAGGCCCUGUGCGCCCGCCGGCUCAGGUCUUAACCAACUUGUUGGAUAAGCUGACAGCGUUGUUAACAACGGUGGUUACUCCGGCAGAUCAGGAUCAGCAUAACGCGGCGGUUGCAAAGUUGCGGGAUGAGAUAGCACAGGCCAAGGAAGAGCUGAACGCAGAAAACACUAGGAUGGCCGCGGAGCAGGCCGCUUUGGAUGUUCAGGCGCAGCGGAUUCAAUCAGAGUCUUUCCGGCUCAUGCUAGGUCAGAACGCUUCAAAUGACGUCAUGAGGAGAAGGCAUCAGACUCGCCUGCCUCCGGUUUACGAGGCGAUAAAUCUCUUAAACACGCCCGGAGCAGGGACCAGUAACCAGCCAGUGGUAAACCGGGUUGAAACGCCUGGAACGGGAGCGCCGGUUCAGUCGCACAUGACGGACCCGCCUCGUCAAGACAAUAUCCCACCGCAGCACAUGCCGACGCCACCGGGUCAUUAUUCUAACCCCUUGGACAACAUGAUCGCUGCCGCAUCACGAUUGGCGGCUCUCCCAAUUGAAGGCGAGUCUCCAACAGCAGUUGAGAUGCGAUGGGCUAGAGAGCUUCUUCAGACGGCAUUGGUUCAGCAGCAGGCUUAUUCUUACAGUCGUGAGAGGAUUCAUUCAGCCCCUCGCCCAAGACGGAGUUAUAGCAGGCAUAUUGAGGAACCGGCCGUGUCAAGCAGUGGACGGAACCAUAACCCGCCCCGUGGACAUAACCCGGCAGGUGGUGGGAUUAAUGCCCAGAACGUCGUGGAUCAAGGAAGAGCGCGUCGAGAGGCUUAGUUGGCGUCUCAGUAUACGGCUCGUCAGCAUUCCCCGGUUUGUCCGACAACUUCGGUGGAGACAGGUGUGACCUUCAGGACUCUGGGUGUGCCAUGUUUGGUGCCAGCUUUGCGUAAUGUACGUUUGCCCAAGGAUUUCAAGGGUCCCCGUAAGGUGCCCAAAUACACUGCCAAUUUACCUCCUGAAACAUGGGUUGAGAGUUAUGAGAUGGCGAUGGAACUAUUGGAUGUUGACAAUGCUGCAUGCGCUAAGUACUUCACCAUGAUGUUGGAAGGGACAGCUCGUACUUGGUUGAAGGGGUUUCCAGCCAACUCCAUUGGGUCAUGGGCCGAGUUAAAAGCCCGGUUUAUCUAAAACUUUAAAGAUAUGUGCAAGCAGCCCAUGUCAAUCGUGGAUUUGGCCUCCUGUGUCCAAGAAGAAGGUGAGUCACAAUCCUGCACUCAUCGGAUCGCAUCAAUGCCGAUUCAGCAGUCUUAAUGUUGGAGAACAAUUGUCGUUUCACGCCCCUGAAGCAGAAAUUAGGGCGGCUCAAACGUCACUGCAAUGACAUGGGGACACUCAUGGCGGCUCUGGUUAAGUAUGCUGACUCUGAUGGUACCAAGGACCCCGAGUCUGAUGAUGAAAAGUCGGGAAAGGGAAAGAAGAGCAGCAUCACCAGGGGGCAGCAGCAUAACCCGGCGAGCCAUGGAAACAACGGUAAGCACAAAGCUGAUAAUAGUUUGGACUUUGUGGCUAACACCAAUAUGCAGAAUAAUGGUCAGCGUCGUAAGGGUAAACCGCCCCCACGGACUGGAGGGUCAGGCUUCAAUCUUGAGCAGCUGCUAAAUCAGCCCUGCCCAAGACAUGGGAUACAGGAAAGACCGUCUGGCCACCUCUGCAAGGAUUGCUUCAUUAUGAAGAAGUACAAAAAUUCCAAUCUUUUCCAAGACGAUCAUGGGCCGGGUGGUGGUUCAGGAUCCAGCUCUCAUGGACCGGGUUAUGGCGGUGGCGGUUCUAGCUCUGGAUUCCAAGGCAAUCAAGGCAAUUAGGGUGGCUACCAUCAACAAUCAGGUCAGGGGAAUCAACAGCAGCAAUCUGGGUAUCAGAGUAACCCAAAGCAGUUGAAUAGUGGGCAGUACCACGUCUUCACCACAAGUUUGUGCAAACGGGAUCAGAAGCUUCAUAAAAGGGCGGUGAACGCCGUUGAACCGGCAAUUCCCCGUUACUUGCGCUGGUCUGAGCAGCCCAUUAUGUGGAGUCGGGAAGAUCACCCGCCCCGGGUUGAUAAUCCGGGUCACCUGGCGUUGGUGGUCGCACCUCAGGUCGGAGGGUAUAAGUUCACCAAAGUACUCAUGGAUGGAGGGAGCAGCAUCAAUAUCAUUUAUUAUGAAACUUUCCGUCGCAUGGGGUUGACAGAUGAAAAUCUUAAACCGUCAAACACUAUUUUCCAUGGCGUGGUGCCUGGUAAAUCGGCGUACCCGGUUGGUAAGAUAGCUUUGGAAGUUGCUUUUGGAGAUGAUCAUGACUCUAGGUCAGAGACAUUGACCUUUGAAGUGGUAAAAAUCAAGAGCCCUUAUCAUGCUCUGUUUGGGCAGCCGGCUUAUGGUAAGUUCAUGGCAAGGCCUUGUUAUGUUUAUCAGCAGCUCAAGAUGCCGGGUUACAAGGGGACCAUCACAGUGCAUGGGAGCCGAAAGAUAGCUUUGGAAUGCGAAGAAGGUGAUGCAGCUUAUGCUAAGUCGGUUUGUGCAACGGAGGAGUUAAAAUUUUAUAAGGACAAUGUUGAUCCGGUGGAUAUGACAUCUUUGGAAAAGCCAACUACAGAGCAUGAUCUGGUCUUGAAGUUUAAAUUGGCAGAUGAUACCAAGCUGGUUGAUUUUGUUCCUGGCGAUUCAUCCAAGCAGUUAAGUAUCAGUGCUAAUCUGGAUCCGAAAUAGGAAAGCGCGCUCAUCGAGUUCAUCCGUGAGAACCGGGACAUCUUUUCAUGGAAACCUUCUGACAUGCCAGGUGUACCGAGGGAACUCGCUGAGCACACUCUCAAUAUUGAUCCCAAGUUUAAACCGGUCAAGCAGUUUCUUCGUCGUUUCAAUGAAGAAAGGCGUAAGGCCAUUGGUGAGGAGGUAGCCCAGCUCUUGGCGGCUGGGUUUAUUUUUGAGGUUUUUCAUCCUGAGUGGUUAGCUAACCCGGUGCUGGUACUUAAGAAGAACGGCACUUGGCAUAUGUGUGUGGACUACACAGAUUUAAACAAGGCUUGUCCGGCUGAUCCUUUUGCUCUCCCUCGUAUUGAUCAGAUUAUUGAUGCUACAGCUGGUUGUGAGCGUUUGAGUUUUUUGGAUGCUUAUUGUGGUUAUCAUCAUAUCAAGAUGGCAGUUAAGGACCAGGAGAAGAUAGCUUUCAUAACUCCCUUUGGAGCCUUCUGCUAUGUGUCUAUGCCCUUUGGACUCAAGAGUGCCCAAGCGACUUACCAGCGAUGUGUGCAGAAUUGUCUUCAUAAUCAGAUUGGGCGCAAUGUUCAUGCUUAUGUGGAUGAUGUUGUGGUGAAAUCCAGAAAGAAGGAGACGUUGAUAGACAAUUUGAAGGAAACCUUUGAUAAUCUCCGGGUUUAUAAGAUGAUGCUUAACCUGGCCAUGUGUGUUUUUGGUGUGCCGGCAGGCAAGCUCUUGGCCUUUCUGGUGUCUAACAGAGGCAUCGAAGCUAAUCCGGAGAACAUCAAAGCCAUUACUUCUCUGGCUAAACCGGCGUGUGUCAACGAUAUUCAACGACUGGCGGGUCGUAUUGCGGCGCUAAGCCGGUUCAUAAGCCGGUUGGGAGAGAAGGCUAUCCCUCUGUAUCAGAUGAUGAAAAAGACAAAUAAUUUCAUUUGGAGUGAUGCCGCUAAUGCAGCAUUUGAGGACUUCAAGAAGCAGCUGGCUGAGCCACCUGUUCUGGCCGCUCCUGUUGAUAAAGAGCCAUUGUUGUUGUACGUGGCUGCCAAUGCCCGGGCUGUCGGCGUGGCUGUUGUGGUGGAACGGAAGGAGGCAGGCAAGGGAUAUUCGGUUCAAAGGCCGGUUUACUACAUCAGCGAGGUGCUUAUUGAGUCCAAACAGAGAUAUCCACACUGGCAGAAACUUGUAUAUGGGGUGUUCAUGGCUAGUCGGAAGCUUAAGCAAUAUUUUUUUGGGUCAUCCCAUCACUGUGGUUAGUUCUGCUCCUUUAGGGGAUAUUAUUCAGAACAGAGAAGCCACAGGUCGGAUAGCCAAGUGGACCCUUGAGCUUGGUCCUCAUGGUUUGAAAUAUAUGCCUCGCACGGCCAUCAAGUCUCAGGCACUGGUGGAUUUCAUCAAUGACUGGAAAGAGUUGUAGAUGCCUGAGGAAAAGCCAGAUAACACAUAUUGGACUAUUCACUUUGAUGGGCCCAAGCAAUUGGAUGGCUCGGGGGCUGGAGUUGUGCUAGCUUCCCCUCGAGGUGAUAAAUUUUGUUAUGUUCUCCAUUUGGUGUUCCCUCGCACUAACAAUGCAGCUGAAUAUGAGGCCCUGCUCCACGGUCUUCGGAUGGCUAAGGAGAUGAACUUAAGCUGGGUAAGGUGCUUUGGUGACUCAGAUUUGGUGGCUCAACAAGUCUCUGGUACUUGGGAUUCUAAGGAUCCACUCAUGGCGGCUUAUCGACGAGAGGUGGACAUUAUUGCUGGUCACUUCAAGGGUUAUCAAGUUGAGCACAUUGAUCGGAGAAAAAAUAAAGCGGCUGAUGCCUUAAGCCAGUUGGGUUCUCAACGUAAACCGGUGUCGCCUAAUGUCUUUCUUGACGUCUUGCAUAACCCGUCGGUCAAAUUACCUACAGAGGAGGAUUUGGCUAUUCCUGACCCAGAAGCACAAUUGGUGGCGGCUCUUCAUGUAAUUCCUGAUUGGACAGUUCCAUAUUUGGCUUAUAUGACCCGGAGCGAGUUACUUGAGGAUGAAACUUUAGGCAGGCAAAUAACCCGGCGGUCUAAGUCAAUGACAAUUGUCAAUGGAGAGCUGCAUCACUGCAGUGUUACAGGGGCCUUUCAACAUUGUGUUUCUCUAGAAGAAGGCCAUGAGAUUCUGCGUGAGAUUCAUGAAGGAGAUUGUGGUCAUCAUGCCGGCUCUAAGUCUCUUGUGGCUAAAGCCUUUCGUCAUGGAUUUUACUGGCUGACAGCUCAUGCUGAUGCUGAAGACCUGGUCAGUAAGUGUGAUGGAUGUCAGAAAUUUUCACGACGAGCCCAUGUGCCGGCUCAAGAUUUGAGGAUGAUUCCAAUUACUUGGCCAUUUGCAGUCUGGGGGCUUGAUAUGGUUGGACCUUUCAAAAGGUCCAGAGACAAAAAGACACAUCUCCUGGUGGCGGUUGACAAAUUUACAAAGUGGGUCGAGGCAGAGCCAGUCAGUAAAUGUGACGCGGCAACGGCGGUUCAGUUCAUUAAAAAGGUGAUUUUCCAUUUUGGUUUUCCCCACAGUAUCAUAACUGAUAAUGGCACUAACCUAUCCAAGGGUGCUAUGAAAGAAUUUUGUCAACGCGAGCACAUCCGGCUUGACGUGUCAUCAGUGGCUCACCCCCAACCUAAUGGUCAAGCCGAGAGAGCCAAUCAAGAGAUCUUGAGAGGCAUCAAGCCCCGGCUUAUGGUUCCCCUACAGAGGACACUGGGUUGUUGGGUGGAGGAGUUACCUUAUGUGUUAUGGAGCAUUAAUACCACCCCAACAGGUCUAAAGGUUACACGCCUUUCUUCAUGGUUUACGAAGCAGAGGCAGUUCUCCCUAGUGACAUCUGUCAUGACUCACCUCGCGUGGCGGCUUAUGUUGAAGCUGACAAUGAAAAAGCAGGUCAGGACGCACUUGACCUGUUAGAUGAGGAGUGUGACAUCGCAGUGGCUCGUUCAGCGAUUUACCAGCAAGAUCUGUGUCGUUAUCGCAGCCGCAGGAUUAAAACCGGAACUUUUCAAGAAGGUGAUUUGGUGCUCCGACUCAUCCAGGAUCAGACUGAUAUGCACAAGUUAUCCCCACCUUGGGAAGGAACCUUUGUGGUCAUCAAGAAUCUGAACAAUGGGUCAUACUAUCUUAUCAACGUUCGAGAGCACAAGGAAUCAUGUAAGUCGGAGGAGGAGACGCACCGGCCGUGGAGUAUGGCUCAUCUUCGGCCCUACUAUACUUGAGCCACUGGCUCUUCUGAUGUACAUAUUUUGACAAUGUAUAUAUUAUGAUUAAUAUAAUAAAGCCGGCAUCCCUGCUAAAGUCGGGCCUCUGCCAUUUUCUUUUCACAUGAUGAGUUUUUGGUCACUUGGGGCCUUCCGACUUAUAGAGAGAAGUUAUGAUUACCCUUUGAUCCGGCUUAUAGGCCAUUAAAAAAAUUGACUUGGGGACUUGCUACCCAGGUUAAAGGGACCAAAGAGAGUUUGUUGCAAUGCGCAACUCAAACAUAGGUGCCCACUGAGCAGAGCUCAAAAAUAUUGCUUGGGGGCUCUUUGUUCUAAAGGACAAGAGUUUUUAUGACCCUUGUAAUAGGCUUAAAAGCCAGGCUUGGAAGCCAAGUGUAUUCACCUAAAACCCUGGGUUAUCCUACCUUUUUAAGUCUGCCACUCCACCCAGGUAAUCCUGGAACGACCCGCCGUACUUUUGACAAGUCAAUCUUAUACAGACCCUGAACUUGUCAAUGUUAAAACGACGAUUGAUUGCGUGAGGUCCGGCUUAUAAGGUUUGUAUAAAGGUUUAACUCAGUGGCUGUGCGGCCCGUGAAAGCACUUGAAUUUUAGGCCUGGCCGCCUAUGAAAGCCUUGAUUUUUUGUUAUUGUUUGAUUUGAACAUUUUUUGAGCUUUUUUCUCAUGUGACACAGUAAUACAUGGUUAAAAAGCCGAUGAGGGCUGUGAUGCCUUAUGGUUUAUACAUGAAACUACCCGGUGUUUAUUAACCCGGCCUGGCUUUCAACUAUAAGUCGCCAGUAUGAGAUAAGAUAAUAUUCGGUGUUUAUUAACCCGGCCUGGCUUUGUUCAUAAGACGGCAAUAUAUGAUAAUUACCAGUGCUCAAAUUUUGGGUUAUCACCCUUAUCACACUGGCUUGGUAAACCAACAGUGUGAUCAAAUAUCACAGGUAUGAUAUAUUUUCAAUUAUAUAUGGUUAUCCUUAAGUCCAGCCUUGGUUAUAAACUAUGUUAGUUUCCCAUGGCUUUAUAUUGGGCAUUAUAACCCGUCUUGCGGUAAACCGCCAGAACACUUUUAAUCUAUUGUAUGCAGGAAUAGAUUCAAAAUUGCUAGUAUCAUAAGCAUACAUGGCAUAUCUUAACAUGGUGGAUUAGCAGUGUCAUGCAAAGUAAAUAUGCACGAUAGCAUAGCAGAUUAAGAUUUUAAGCUAACCUAUUACAAGGCAUUUGGUGCCCAAAAGAAUAAUUGUUUUUAACAAGUCUUGUAGAAAGCAGAUGCUAAACCGGCCCCCGGUUUAUGAAUCUUGGCUUGGCUGACUUGAAGGUCGCGGAUCAUCCAGCGCCGGUUCAUCUUCCUCUUCUCUACCCAGUGGCUGGAAGUUAAUGGUUGUCCAAUCGAUCCUAGUUAAGGCUUUGAAUACAGCUUCAUCACUUAUAAGUGUGGCGGGAUCGACAUCAGGGGCAUAUGUAUGCUUAUGGAUUGGAAGAAUAAGAUUUGGAGCAUCAUAAGUUGGCGCUUUAACUCUCUUGUUGUUGGCAUCAUAAAUCGACUGAUAAUGUGAAAGAACGGUCUCUUCUGCCAAUUUGCUAGCCAAUGGGCGCAUUUCCCUUGUCAGGGCUCCGAGGUCAUCAGUAUUAAAGUCUGACCCGUCCUCCUUUAUGCUCGGGUAGCCGUUUCCCAAAUCGGCCGGAUCAAGAUCAGAUAUCCAUGCUUUGGCCCGAGUUAGUGUAGUAAGAGCACCCGCCCUGGCAGCUGAUUCCUUUAGUUCUUCAAACCCGGCAGGCAUCAUCGCCAACCUUUCCAACGUCUCCUUGAUCAAGGUUGGGGGCGGUUUGUUAUGGGAAGCUGUGCAGAUAACCCGUUGUACGCCGGUAUAUAACUACUCUAUAAGUGUAUAGGCGGCUUUCAGUUUUUGCCGCAUAUCUGAGCCAAGAUGAGCAACGCGGGUUCCUGCAUCAUCAAAAACGUCUGUAAACCGACAGUUUAUUAGAUAAUACAUGUUUAAAGCUUAUGAAAAAGCUAUUUACCAAAAAGGCAGUGGUCAUGGCAUUUAUUUGUUGUUUCAAGCCAGUCAGCUCCUCCGCUAUCGGAUUAAGGGCCGCUUCAGCAUCCUCAGCCCUUUUCAGCAGAGUUGACUUUUCUGUAUCCCAACCUGCUUGCUCCUUUUUGAAGCUUUCCUUCAGUUUUUCCAUUGCUGCUAAGGCACUGGUCAGUUCAUCCUUGGCCUUGGAAGUCCCUGCUUGUUGUGAUUUGAUAUUUUCUUGAGGGUCGGCGAUUUGGGAUUCCUUCUUGAUAAGCUCAGCCUGCAAGAGACAAGCAAUUUAUGAGAUGACAGUGCAUAUUCAAAGUCCCAAGCACAUAAUAAGUAAUAUACUUGGCACUUGGGGGCUAAUGUCUAUUGCUUCUUAUCAAAAAAAUUACAAGUCCCAAGCUCAAUACAAGUAUUAUUCUUGGCACUUGGGGGCUAAUGCAUAUUUGCUCCAGUCAAAACUAUGAUUUUUCUUCCACUAUCAGCUCGGUGGUCAACCGGUUUACAAAGGUCCUAAACAAGAAUUUUGAGCCUUACAGCAUAAUUAGUCCCAACUUAACAUAUUUGUUAAGUCGGCCCUUAGGGGCUACAUAGGAAAAUUUGAAGAGUUGUUAUUCUAAAGUCCCGGUUCAUCUUGAAAGUAUAAACCGGCCCUUGGGGCUGCAUAGGCAAAAGUGAAGAGUUGUUAUUCUACAAGUCCCGGUUCAUAUUGACAGUAUAAACCGGCCCUUGGGGGCUACUGGAUUUGAUCUAUAUGGUUCUUGGAAGUUUACAGAAUAUUCUAUUCUUUUAUGUCCAAUAAACUUGGCGGCUAAGGGAAGAAUAUUUAUGCAGAGUUAACAGCAUUUACCUCAUAUCGCUCCUUCAUCAUAUUCAGUAAACCGGCUUCAUAGUCACGGCUUGUGUACAAACGGUUUAAAAACCCAGAAUGAAUAUCUUGCGCGUAGCUUUCCAAGUCUACCUUCCACUUGCCUUUAUCAACAACAGAGAUUUCUUCUUUGGCACUGUGUUUUGACAGAGCAGUGGGGUUGCCUGGGGUUGUGUAACCAAUGCCAGUAACCACAACGUUGUCAAUUUUGUCAUCAGCAGCUUUAAUUGGGCUGGGCGGUUUAUCAGCAUGAAUCAUCAGAUCAACUUCCAUAUGUUCAACUAAGAUUUCAUGAUCUUGCGGUGGCGGAUCAUCAAGAAUAGCUUCGGUAUUUGGAUUAGACUGUUCCGGGGUCUUUUCCGGAUCAGUUGGAAUGCUAUCAUCAGCCGGCUUAUUUAGUUUGGCCCUUUUUCUGGCUCUGGCUUGGGCCCUGAAAAUAAUAAGUAUAUAUCAGGUCAGUAUAAAGAUGUAGUAUAAGAUAUGAAGGGUCAGUUAAAUAUGCUCACCUAGGAGCCGUUUUGAGGGUUGGAAUUUGCAUUCCUGUUGACUCGCCAGAGGAAGAAUGGGAAGUUCCCUGAUAAUUUGAAUCAGAUGGAUUAAGAGGUUGUCGGAAAUAACCCGCCUUGGGAUAAUAUGUGUCAGAAGUACAAGAGACCUUUGGGCGGCGUUUACGAACCGGCAUGUUUGGUAAACCGGAAGAAGUUACCACAUGGCCGCUAUGCCGGGUUGUGCGGCGAGCUUCGUGUUGCUGUUUCUUCAAAAGAAAGUUUGGAUCCAAGUGAGCUAGAGGGUGAGAAAAUCUUACUUUCCUGUUUGCUUGUAGGGUUUUCUGUGUGGGCAGAGGUUCUGAGCCGGAUGAGAGAAUAAUUACCUCUGCGUCACUUGCACGGCUAGCUUCUGCAUCGUCCUGAUAACAAUUAUUGUCAAUGAGGUGUAUGAAAAAGGAGCCAAGUGAAUCAAGUUCUACCUCUGACUCCGGGUUAUCAUUGUCAUCAUCAAUCUUUAGCUCGGCAGACUCGACGGUUUUCCUCUUGGCGGGCUUCUUGUUGGCCUUGGUCUUGGGACGAGUUGUUUUGGCCGGUUUAUCCCGUGGUUUCCUCUUCCAGAAUGGAUCAUCACCCUGUUAAAGAUUGAAAAGAUCAUAAGGGAGUAUUAAGAAUAUGGAUUAAAGCAGGAGUUGGGCAAUUCUUACAGCUGGCGGUUUAUUUGAAGCGCAGAAAGGACUAAGCCCUGUUUUGCUACAGUCGGCCACCGGUUCAUUCAACAUUUUCUUGACGGAUUCAGUAAUUUCAACAUCAGUCAGCUGAAUAUUAGUGUGGCGUUGAGGGUCUUUCACAUCCCCUGUGUAUUCACACAUUAAACCGGGGCGAUGGCUUAAAGGCAAAAUACUCCAAGACACCCAGCAACGGACAAAAUCAAUGCUUGUUAAACCGUUUGCCACAAAGGCUCUGAGCCUUGAAAGCUGUGGUGCAUACUUGGCCCAUUCCUUGGCACUGGGUCUUUGGGGGAGUGGAUGUGUACUGGUAAGCCGGUGAGCACGGUAACCCGGCAGAGGAUUCUCGCCGGCUGGAGAUGUAUCUUGGCAGUAGUACCAAGUUUGCUUCCAAUCUUUGGGGUGGCUAUGAUGGUUAGCGUGAGGGAAGCUGACAUCUUUUCUCUUUUGGAUUGAAACCCCGCCAAGUUCAGUAUUGGGCCCGUCCACAAAUUCUGUACGACGGUUUAAAUAGUAGAAAUCUCUGAAGAGUUCGAUCGUGGGCUCCUCUUGCAGGUAAGCUUCACACAACACUUGAAAAUUGCAAAUAUUGGAUACGGAGUUAGGUCCAAUAUCUUGAGGGUGAAGUUGGAGGAAAUGAAGCACAUCACAGAAAAAUUUUGAUCCGGGAGGGCUGAAUCCUCAACUCAGAUGGUCAACAAAAAUGAUCACUUCCCCUUCCUUGGGUUCAGGAGGAUUUUCAGGACCAGGGGUUCUCCAGUGGAUGUCUUCCUUUUUGGCUAAAGCGCCAGUAGCAACACACCCGUUCAGCUCUUCUUCUAUAACCCGGGAUUGAACCCAGUUGCAGAAAUAAAAGGACUUGGCCAUUUAUUCGAUAACCUGGAAGAAGGUUUGUGCCGGUUUAAGAUUCAUGGUUAAUCCGCUAAAGGUUAAAAGGCAUAAAGUGUUGAAGCAUGCAAAAGUGUUAAACCGGAGAUUGACGUUAUCAAGUUGCAGAGAUGAGCAAUUGGCGGUUUAAGAGGGGACUAAUGGUACCUGGCGGAUUAUUAUUUUCUGAGUUAAACCGCCUACACAGAUAUUGAAAGUAUAGAUCUGAAGUUGGAAAAUGACUAAGUGAUGAAAAACAGUUUUCACAGACUGAUAUCACAAUUUUGGAUCUACCGUGUGUCAGAAAAUGAAAAUAUAUUCAGACCUAAAUAUUGGUACUAGAACAGUUUAUAAAGGUCCAGAUUGGAUUUUCUACCUAAAAAGAGAUGCUCUGAUGAGGAAAGAAGGACUAUGGCUAUUGUCGCACAGGAAAAUAUCAAGUUUGAAUCAAAAAUUCAUGCUACAGCGAAGAACAAGUGAAGAACAGUGUUGAACCUCCAUGGGCUCGUACGAACCCUAAUGAGAUCUACAGAGGGGGAAGGAGGAAGAACUUACCGAGGCUGCUGGAGCGGCAGAGGCGAGCGAGCAAGAUCUGGACUAAUCAGGUUGAUGCAGCGGCCAAUGGUGAUGCAGAGGAGAGGAUCGAUGGUGGCGGCUGGGCUCGAGAGCAACACGUCGCGAGGAAGACGAUGAAGACAAAGAGGCUGAGGGGGGAAAGUGAAAAUGACCCCUGGCCCUAUUUAUAAGGCGAAUGGAUAAGUGGCAUGCGCGGGAAUCGAGGAGCUCCAAAUUGGAUAUGUAACAAGGUCGAUGCCUCGAUUUUCGGAGGUUCAUUAAAAAUGAAGAUACAUAUAUGAUUUUGGAUUUGUAUAAAAUUAAUGACAGGUGACGUCAUGGCGAGUUAUCAUGAUCUUAGAAGAUGACGUCAUGGCGAGUUACAAGUCUUCGCAAAGGUAAUGAAGAAGGAAUUUUUCUAAGUGUUGAAGAUUGACAUGAACAAGUUCAAAUCAACCUGGGGCCUAAUGCUGGGGAUAUAAAUAUUGAGUGUAAACCACCCAGGAGGGGCCAGGUUAUGCUCAUGAUGAUUUACCAGUAUUGAAGCCCAUGAAGACAUAGAAGAUGGCGACUUACGAAGGAGACUUAAUAAGAAGGCCCAAAGCCCAAAGGCGGGUUAGGGCCCAUAGAUGUAAACCGCCAUAGGUGUAUGACUUGUAUUGUAAGAUAGGAAAGAGUGGAUACCGAGCCGGACAUGAUUAUGAGCCGGCCGGGAUUCUGUGAACCGCCGGGCGUCAACCUGAGUAUAUAAAGGGACGACCCGGCGGCGGUUUAGGGACAACAAAUAACAGAUCGAGAGCCAGGCUAAGCAUAUUCGCUCCCUGGUCAUCGAAACCCUAGCAAUACCACCUCAAACUGGAUUAGGCCUUUACCUUCACCGCAAGGGGCCGAACCAUUAUAAUUCCCUGUGUCCUUUGACCCGAUUAACCCCUUUAAGUUAACCUCGUUGCGAUGGCUCCACGAAUAAGUCCUCACACUCGGACAUCUGUCGUGACAAACCCACGAGACACGUCAUUCAAAUUUAUUGUGAUCAUUGAGGAUUUGUGGAAGUUAAUUUCCAAACCAGUUGCUUUGAAAAAAGAACACAAAGUUUUCUUUAGAGCAAAUAACUGGGAUCUGUCAGCAGGCAAGAAAACAGUGUGUCAUAUGCAUAUUGUAUGAUUAGGAAGCGUGGAUCAUGGCUAGGAAUUGGCAGACUAGGUGUACUGGUGAAGCAUGUUGUUUAUCAUUGAUCACAACAAAUCUGCAACCAGAACAAAGAGCAAUGGUGUUAAUGGAUCACCCUGUUUCACUCCACUCUUACUCUUGAAAUGCUAUCCUGGUACCCCAUUCAGUAAUAUGGAGGAAGUUCUAGAAGAGAGUAACUCCUUCACCCAACAAAUCCAUCUUGUACUAAAACCUUUGGCCUCCAUUAUUCCAUUGAUGAAUCAAAAUCCUUUUUAAGCAGCAGUAUUGGCCUUUUUGAUUGAUUGCAUUGAUGAAUGUAUUCAAAAGUCUAAGCCAAACAAUCCUGUAUGGUUCUAGAUUUUAUAAAACCAUAAUGAUUCUUAUGAAUACAUUUUAAUAUCUCAUCCUGGAAUCUGUUUGCAACCAUUUUGGUUAGAAAUUUAAGUCCCACACUGGUUGGAGAGAUAGGCCUAUAAUCCCCCACCGACUCAGGUAAGUGUUUCCUUGGGAAUAAAGUGAUGUAAGCAUCAUUCAGAUUUUCUAGUCUGUGUGUUUCAGAAUGGAAUUAUUGCACCAAUGUAAAAAAAAUCCUUGGAAAUCAUAGGCCAGCACUUCUUCAGAAAUAGCCCAUUAAAACCAUCAGGGCUAGGAGCUUUAUCAAUGGGCAUCUCCUUGAUCACUGCUUCAAUCUCCUUGAUCUCGAAAGGCCCAGUGAGCACAUCUAAUCAGUCAACCUAUGGCAACAGAUUAUGUAGGUCCAUAUCAAAAGAUAUUUCUUUAACCUUACCCAUCUUGCUCUUAAAAGCAUUGAGGAAUUCCCCAGCCAUGAUCUCAUGAUCAGAAGUGGAGGAACCAUCUGGCAGGACCAAACUGCCAAUUGAAUUCUUCCGUGCCUCUCAAUUGCCAUAGCUUGAAUUUUUUUUUGGAAUUUUCCUCUCCCAUUUUGAUGUACCUAAUGGUACACGUCUUCUUCAAUAAAUAUACUGCAGAUGCAGUAGAUGCUCAUGAUGCAAUUUAACCACCUUUCUGAAAUUAAAUUCAGGUCUUGAGAGAGGUCUAAUAUCUUCAAGGUUGUCCAACCACAGAAUCACCGUGUUACACUUCUCAAUCAACUUUUUUAUGCGAGAAAGCCCCUUCUACCAUUUCUUUACAGCAAAUCUCAAAGUUUUUAGCUUAUCUACAAUAAUGGUAGGAAUAUGCCCUUUAUUUGAAGGUUGAGACCAAGCAGAUUGCACGCAGUCCAUAAAACUAGGCUGUUCCACCCAAUAAUUUUCAAAACAAAAAAUAUUUUCUUUGGGGAUAGAAGUACUGAUUGAAAUCAAGCAGGGAACAUGAUCAGAAGCUAUCUUAGCCCCUAGUGCCACCUGCUGGCAUAAGUAAAAACCCACCCCAACUAUUCGAAUAGUGGAUAGUCUUGCAUGUUAGACCAUGUAAAUCUCCUCGCUUUUAAAGGAAUUUCCAACAAACCAAGAUGGCCAAUAAUCUCAUUUAAUAUAAAGAUAUAAAAAAUGCUAUUUUAAAUUGUAUCUCUGAAUUUGCCAAUAUAACUUGGGAUGGAAUUGUCAGCACACUGACCAUCAUUGCUUAUAUAUUUGUGAAACAUGUUAUCUGUCUUCUUGUUUCUCUUUCAGAGUAAUAUCUCUUAUGCCAGGCAGAACUUUAGGGAAGAUAGUGAGACAAACCCAUGGCUGGUACCUAUCAAUUAUCACUACUAGGGAAAACCCUAGCAGUAGCGCGGGUAUUUUGCCUAUCAGUAGCGUGGGAGGACGCACUACUGGUAAGGCGCUACAGCUAUUCCUUAGCAGUAGCGUGUGCUACGCGCGUUGCUGCUAAGACAUAUAGCAGCAGUGUUGGUUCACUCCAGCGCUACUGCUAAUAUAGCUAGUUGCAGCGUGUUUACUCUCCAUCGCUACUAGUAUUAUUUUUCUCAUUUUUUUAAUUUUUAGUGUAUUUAUACGCCGUUAUACAAAUUCUGGUACAAUACCAAUUAUGAGGUUGUUAUAUCAAUAUGUCCAUAACAGCGUGUCAAAUGAAGGUGGAUUAGGUUUAAGUGGAGGGAACAUGUGGUGCAUGUCAAAAGUAUACUACUAAUCCAAACUUGAUCUAGUUUGGACUAGUAGUACUUUCGAUGUGAACCACAUGUUGCCUCCACUUGAAUCUAAUCCGCCAACACAAGCUAUUUAAUCAUCAUCAUAGUCAUUACCACCAACAGUAGCUAUUUAAUCAUCAUAGUCAUAGUGUAGCACACAUCAUCAUCUUCAAACUCAUUCUAGCUAGCUAAUCACCACCAACACUAGCUGCGGUAGCUAGAUAAUCACCACCAACACUAGCUAAUAAUAAUAAUCAUCAUAGUCAUUACCACCAACACUAGAUAUUUAAUCAUCAUAACUCAUUUCUAGCUAGCUAAUCACUCCUGCUGCUCUCUCUCUCAGCUAAAAUAACAUAAAACAUGUGUAGCACUCCUGCUUCAUCAAGUUGGAGCAUGCAGAUGAACCUGUCUCCUAAUCGUGGGCUGCGCUUCUGAUUGCUGCUCCCUAGUACUUCUCUGCGAUCGUUCACAAUUUUGCUCCAGUCUUUCACUAUUAAGCAUUCCUCGCUAUUAGAAAUCCUGAAUGCACUAAAGUGCAUUGUAGGAAAUCUUGGCCGUAAGCUAACAAUUCUCAUGCGACCUUUAGUCUCGAUCCAAUGAGGCACAACAUUCAUCGGGAGUCCCUGUUGAAGAACAUCGUAUAGUAACAUACUUAGCAAUGAAGUUUAGCUUAAAAAUAAUGUAUGCAAAAGAUGCACUGAGGACAAAUAGUAAAAAUCUUACCAUCUUUCCUAAAUAGAUGUUAGCGUAGUUCAGUAUGAACACUAUUGGUCGCAUGUGUUGAGUACUAAGAUUUUUAAGACCAGGAAAAUAAUUUUUCUUGACAGUAUGAAGAUCCUCAAGCCAUGAAACAUAAUGACCUAUCUCCUCGCAGUUUAGUUCAGAUCCGGGACAGUGGACGGUCAUGUCUACCAAGCGCCGGACAUGUUUGCUUGAAUGGAAAUAAGCUAUCAAUAGAAAUUAGUUGUCAACUAUUUUUGAAUAAACAAUAUCGAAGACAUAAAUAUGGUUGAGAAACUCACAUAAUGGUAUAACUGGAGGCGUCUGCACAUCGACCCAGAUGUCUAUAUUACCUUCAAUAUCAUCUUCGGGACGAAUAUCAAAGGUGAUAACCAUAUUAGGCUCAAAUGCAUAAGCCUUGCAUAGUGCUUGCCAAGUUUUGCAUUCAAAAUACGUGUAGGUGUCUGCGUUGUAUAAUUUUGCGUGGAAAGUAUAACCAUGCUCGGUCUUCAAGUUAACUCUCUUUACCUCCAUAGUAGUUUUCAUAGGACUGAAACCUAUCUUAUCCAAGACAAAAACUCUUGCAUGGAAGGGGAUACGCUAGUAGAAUAGUAAAAAAAUUAAAUUAUAGUUGAAGCAAAUGAAGCAGAUGUCAUGCUUAAUUACGAAAAAAGACUUGUCGUUGUGACUUACUGUAUCCACUUCGAAGUUCUCGUCCAGCUUGAUGCUGAAGCACCUAUCAUCAUCUAUGAAGAUUCUGUCGCACAGGCCGCACUCGUCUUUGUAGUAUUCGCAAAUAACGAAAUCCUUUUCGUCGUCAGACAUUUCCUAUGUUCAUGGUUGAAACAUUAAUUGAAAAUUGAUCGAAGGCAACUACCAGGAUACUCAACACACAAAUCUGGGGCACUCGAUAUUUCCUACAUAUUCUGGCACAAGUCAUGCCAAAAUUCACGGAAAAAUCUGGCAUGACCUUUGCUAAAAUAGGACAUAUCGAGCGCCUGAAAUUUACCGGAAUGGAAAUGAAUCAACACUCCGGCAAAACAUAGGCCACUCGAAGGUGUAACCUGCAAACAUGACCGGCCACUUGGGUAAGCACAUAUCCUAUUUGAGCAACACAAGAUAUGCAUUUCAAAAUAUCUUAUAGGACUCAUAUUGACAUGAGCAUUCCAUAAGCAAAAACAAAUCAUAAAAUAAAUAAGUAUUCAAAUUAGCAUGCAUUCAAUAAGCAAAAGUAAAUCAUCUCAUGCGUCCAUACAUCGUCGAAUAUUAUCACUAAUACAUCCGGAAUAGUAUCAUACAUAUAACAUCACUAAUACAACUAAAACCCUAGCGCACGACGGGUAUCGGCGCGGGUGGUGGACACCCACAGAGAAGGAACCAUCACAGGAUCAUAGCUCCAGUGAGAUCCCUGGAGAGCCUACCAGGUAUUGGAGAACCUGUGCUCCAACGCAAACAAGUAGCGAUGGACGUGCGCGUCCUCCUCACUGACACGGUGACGCACCACCUCCGCGGGGUCCUCGAGCCUCUGGACCGUCACUGGCCCACGCGACCGCCACCAAAGAAGGUUCGGGUCAACGCCGGGCUGACUCCUCACCAACCUGCGCCUCCCGGUAGGUAGCACCUCCCAGUACCACCCCGGCGAAGCCCAGUCCCGGACAUGGCCCAUCUGGUGACCCAGGGGUCCUCCGCUGACUCGACGACGAGGAUGCGGGAUAGGCAUCGUCGAUGCCGAUGCGGGAAUAAUUGCUUUAACUAAAAAAGUAAACUAGUUCUAUUAAUUUUCAUACUAAAAAUAAAAUAGUUGUAUUAACUCAACUAGUUCAAUUAAGCACUUACUAUAAAUAAAAAUAAACUAGUUUUUACUAAAAAUAAACUAGUUCAACUAGUUAUAUUAAUUUUCUUACUAAUUCUAUUAAACACUUACUAAAAAACAGUAAAAAAACUAGUUAGAUGAAGUCUAAAAUUUAACCCUAACUAAUUUGAUGAACUCUAAAAUUUAAUGAACCCUAACUAAUUUGAUGAACUCUAAAAUUUAACCCUAACUAAUUUGAUGAACUCUAAAAUUUAACCCUAACUAAUUUGAUGAACUCUAAAACUAAUUCUAUUUAACAACUACUGCCAUAAUUAGCAUCUAAUUUGAUGAACCCUAACUAAUUAGAUGAACUCUGAAAUUUAACCCUAAGAACCCUAGCUAGGCAGAGGUAGGGGAGGAGGAGGAGGGCGUGCUCACCUCNNNNNNNNNNNNNNNNNNNNNNNNNNNNNNNNNNNNNNNNNNNNNNNNNNNNNNNNNNNNNNNNNNNNNNNNNNNNNNNNNNNNNNNNNNNNNNNNNNNNNNNNNNNNNNNNNNNNNNNNNNNNNNNNNNNNNNNNNNNNNNNNNNNNNNNNNNNNNNNNNNNNNNNNNNNNNNNNNNNNNNNNNNNNNNNNNNNNNNNNNNNNNNNNNNNNNNNNNNNNNNNNNNNNNNNNNNNNNNNNNNNNNNNNNNNNNNNNNNNNNNNNNNNNNNNNNNNNNNNNNNNNNNNNNNNNNNNNNNNNNNNNNNNNNNNNNNNNNNNNNNNNNNNNNNNNNNNNNNNNNNNNNNNNNNNNNNNNNNNNNNNNNNNNNNNNNNNNNNNNNNNNNNNNNNNNNNNNNNNNNNNNNNNNNNNNNNNNNNNNNNNNNNNNCUAAAAUUUAACCCUAACUAAUUUGAUGAACUCUAAAACUAAUUCUAUUUAACAACUACUGCCAUAAUUAGCAUCUAAUUUGAUGAACCCUAACUAAUUAGAUGAACUCUGAAAUUUAACCCUAAGAACCCUAGCUAGGCAGAGGUAGAGGAGGAGGAGGAGGAGGGCGUGCUCACCUCGGGCGCCGGCGGAGUUAGGGAGAGGGGCACGCGGCGUUGAGGUCGGGGACGGGGUCGGGGCGGCGGGCGCACGGCGGAGGGCAGCGAUGUAGGGGGCGUCGAGGUCGGGGUCGGGGGCGGCGUCGACGGCGUGUGGAGGGCGACGGGAGAGCGCGCGGCGGCCGGGCGAUGACGGCAGCGACAACAGACACACGCGUGUUGGAAUUGGGGGAAGUGGGCGUUGGGGAAGAAGAAAACGGUUGGUUAAGUGGAAAGUAGCAGCAGCGCAUUCCACGGAAAGCGCUACUGCUACAUUAGCUAUAGCGCCUGUCCAUAAAGCCCGCUGCUGCUACGCAUUUCUCCUUUAUUUUUAUUUUUCAUUUAUUUUCAUUCACAUUUUGUUUUUUCCUUCCCCUUUUUCUAUUUCUUUCAUUUUCAUUUACUUUUCUAUAUGUUUUUUAUUUUAUUUUCCUUUCCUUAGCAGUAGCGCUUCCUGCGCGAAACACGCUGCUACAACAAUCUUAGCAGUAGCGCAUUUUCCAUAGGCACGCUACUACUAUAGGUACCCUGGCGAGAAUAGUAAGGAGAAUUGUAGUAGUAGCGCCUCUACAGUUAGACGCGCUACUGCUAUGAUCUUAGCUGCAGCGCGUUUGGAUAACAUGCGCUAGUGGUAAAUUGUAGUAGCGCUUGUUUUUGUCCCGCGUUACUAGUAAGUUUCUGUGUAUAAGGUUUUCCCUGGUAGUGUAUAUUGCAACAAAGAAGGCAAACCAUCUAGAAGAGAGCGAGAUGACCCCAAGGUCAUGUCUUGAUGAAGACAGUGAGUUCAAGCUACUCACCAGCAGCUGUGACACAACCUUGGUAAAGUUGCUACCUGAAUUAGUUCAACUUCUUCAGUCUCAACUUCAAGCGUAAAGACUUGGUUCAGGUCAGGUCCGACUUGAUGUCCAUUCUCUAACGAAGAUCAAAGAGGACACCCGUGCAUGCUUUAUUGCUACGCGGCUAGAGCUGGAGAAUAUAUGGUUCAGACAAAUGAGGUCUCAUUAGCUUGUUCAGCUGCUUGCGGUGCACCACUGGGGAAGGGCUAACAUUUCGUGAACUGUGUUGUAGUGGUGUCGGUUUUGUAUAUUAUUUUGUCAGCACGUUUAUUUGCAUCGGUGGCGACCUUUUGAUGCCCAGUGUAUGUAAUCUGCGGUCUGGUUGCACUUUAUUAUCACUGGUGGCGAACUUUGAUGCCUAGCGGAUGUAAUAUGUCAUAAUUUCUUUAUUGUAUAGUCUAGGCUUAUUCAGGAUGAUGUAAUUUAGGCUGAAAGCAUCAACGGAGCUCAACAACCCAAUACAUUACCGGUCUGUUGGCGGUAUAUAAAAAGAAAGUACGCUACACAAAUGGGCCCACUUGUAAUUCCCUAUAUAUGGGCCGAAACAUGGGCCUAUAAUCAUCUAGGGCCAUUAGCGGGCAUAAAUGUAAAGUAGUUUUGGGCCUUUAACAUGCCGAGUAAAACACGGUCCUUAGUUGGGCCAGAAAAUACCAUGGGCUUUUAACAGGCUAAAAAGUAGAUUGGGCCUGAAUUGUGCUGAACAUUUCACGGGCCGAUAGCAGGCCAAAAUAUAUGUAGGCCCAUGAUUAUCCCAAUUAGCUACAAGCCGUUAAUAGGCUAAAAUUUAUCUCGGGCCUUGGUUGGCCUAAUCACAUUAUGGGUUGUAAGCAGGCCGGAUGCAAAGAGGGCUAUAAUUAGGCCCACCUGUAUCACGGGCCUUUAACAGGUCGAUAGUCAGGUUGGGCUGAAAUUUAUCCACGAAGUCUAUGGGCCAUUAAGAGGCCAAAAGUCACUUCGGACCAGAAAUGGGCCCACAUACAGCACGGGCAGUUAAAUGGCUGAAAGGUAAACCGGGCCAAAAGCGGCCCAAUUGCACCAAGGGCCGUUAACAGGACAAAACAAACAUCGGGCUGAACUGGGCCAAACUGUUCAAUGCCCCGUUAAGAGGCCAAAAUACAAAGCGGGCUUCAAUGGGCCCAAAAACACAAUGGACUGUUGACGGGCUAGAUCUCACAUGGGAUGUAAUUCGGACCAAAACAUGGCUGGCUGUUAACGGGCCGAAUGUGACAUGGGCUGUAAUUUAGACCAAAAUAGGGCAUGCUGUUAACGGGCCGACCCACUAGUGUUUGACAAAAUCCUGUGGGCCUUUGGUUGGGUCGUCCCAUUUAAUCUAAAUGGGCCACUAUUGGGCUGUGCCACAUGUCGACGUAUCAUAGGCGCCUCUUGGCCGUUGAAUGGAUGACAUCUGUCUCAACGCUGAGCUGACACGUGGUUCCUUUGGCCAAUGAGAAUUUUACACGUGGAAAAUGUUGUUAACGGGUUACCGGAUCCAAACCCGCACCUGAUAGCUUAAUGGUGACCCAUUACGGUGUAUGCCACAUGUUGGUUACCCUUGACGAAAAGACUUCCAUGACGCACCAUUUAUCAUCAUGGAAGUGGACAAUUCCGUGAUGAUAAUUUGGGUAUUGUCAUGGAACACUUCGACGGCAGCACAUUUAUGACUAUCUAAUUCUGUCAUAAAAUCAUCAUGGAUGUACAUGCAUGACAGAAAAUGUGACCUACUGUGACAAACAUGUAUCAUCACGGAAGUGUUUCCUUGUAGUGCAUUAUGGGCUGUAAGCAGGCUGGAUGCAAAGUCGGGCCAUAAUUGGGCCCAAUUGUAUGAUGGUCCCUUAACAGGCCAAUAGUCAGGUUGGGAUGAAAUUUAUCCACGAAGACCAUGAGCCAUUAAGAGGCCAAAAGUCACUUCGGACCAGAAAUGGGCCCAAAUGCAGUGUGGGCCGUCAAACGGCCAAAAGUGAAACAAGGCCGAAAACGACCCAAUUGCGCCAAGGGCCACUAACAGGCCGAACUAGGUCAAACUGUUCAAUGGGAUUUAAUAGGUUGAAAUAUAAACCAGGCCUUCAUUGGGCCCAAAAAUAUAGUGGACUGUUAACGUGUCUGAUCUGCAUAUGGGCCAUAAUUUGGACGAGCCGACCCACUAAUAUCUAACCAAAUCUUGUGGGCCUUUGGCUAGGCUGGCCCAUUUAACCUAAAUGGGCCACUGUUGGGCCGUUCUAUGUGUCGACGUUUCAUUGGCGUGUCCUGUCCAGUGGACAGAUGACAUCUGUCACAACUACGAGCCGACACGUGGUUCCGUUGGCGCAUGAGAAUUUGACACAUGCAAAAUCGCCAUUGGUCAGCCUUGUUAACUGGUAUCGGAUCCAAAAUCGGCACCCAAUAGCUUAACGGCGACCCGUUAUGGUGGAUGCCACGUGUCGGUUACCCUUCACGAAAACACUUCCAUGACGUGGCAUUUAUCAUCACGGAAGUGAACACUUCCGUGACAAUAAAUUGAGUAUUGUCAUGGAACACUUCUAUGACAGCACAUAUAUGACUAUCUUGAUUCUGUCAUCAAAUCGUUACAGAUGUACAUGCAUGACAGAAAAAGGGACCUAGUGUGACAACCAUGUAUUAUCACAAAAGUAUUUUUUGGUAGUUCAGUGUCGCUGUUUACGGUCCGGCCAUUGCUUGUCAUGUCGUUGACGGCGCCACUUUUAUGACGACCCUUACAUCGGCUUUUGGGAGGUUUCCCUCUUCCUUCACCGUCUUUGGGGUGUCCACCAUAUAGACGUCAUAGGUGGAGGUAGCGGUCCACGUGCCGGUUUUAGUAGCGGCAGGUGGUGAAGUUGAGUCUGACAUAUAGCCAGCAUCUUCAUCCAUGUCGGCUUCUUCCUCGGAGGUGUAUCCUAGCACCUCAGUUAAGUCCUCGACGGUAGCGACUAGGUGGGUGGAGGGUUGGUUAAAAAAUUCGUCCACUCCAGGCUUCUCCCAAAUCUGAUCGUAGAUUGAGGUCUAACCAUCUGAGAUUGAAAGAUUCUGAAUCGGAUCUAACAUCUCGUUCGGAAGCGUGAUAUUAGCCUCACCCAUAUCUUGACUGCGGGUGGUGUACAAUUGAAGUUUGCCCGAGGUUCCACCUGACGUGUCCUUGGGGCUUUCGGUGGUCGGAUCUGAGUUCUGACCUAACGGGGUAAUGCUCGAUUCCAAGCUCAAAGUGGGAGCUGAGGUAUGGAUGUCUCCGAGGCCUUGCUCCAAGAUUGAUUCUGGUGCUAAGGCGGUGGUGUUGGUAGGAUCUUCGGUCAGGUCUGACCCUGCCCAAAAAUACAAGUUCAUCAUGGGAAUCCGUGGUGUAUUCCAGAUUGCCAAACCUGAUGGUCUGGCCUGGAGCGAGGUUCUCGACUUGGCCGAGGUGGCAAGUCGAAUCUAUAUGCAGCACAAUGUUGCCGAAGGCAACAAGCUGUCCGGGGAGAAAGGUCUUCCGACGGCCGAUGUCGUCAUUGAUCCUAAGAUGAGCCUUCAGGCCUUCGUGACCACACAAUGGGACCUGCAUGGGCCACCAAUUUCGGUGCUAAAACCGGCAGAUCUCGGGUAGGGGGUCCCGAGCUGGUGAUCUUGGCUAGAUGGUAAUAGGAGAGAAAAGCAUACAGUGUUUACCAAGGUUCGGGCCCUCUCAAAGAGUUAAUGCCCUACUCCCGCUCAUGUUUAUAUUUUGUGUAUGGAGUACAAAGUACAGGAUGAUCUACCUCUAGAUCGUAUGAUUGUGUCUAACUUGUCUCUACAAACUAAACCCCUCAGCUAAUAUAGGCACCAGGGGUAUCUAGGGUUUACAAGUAUGUUGACUACAACUAGGGAUAAGCAUGCUAGUCAUUUAAAUAUGCCUUGAAGUAUACGCCAUGUCUUCGGAGGAUUCCAUCUGGAGUACGCCGAGGGCCACAACUUGUGUGGCCCCUUUUACGGUUGUCGGUGAUCCUUGGCCCAGCUCAUGAAUGGUAGUUCGACAUGGUGAGCACCCCCUAAUCCAUGACAUCAUCACUUGUGGGUGGUGAUGGAGUUCUCAUUGGGGGUGUCGAAGAGGGACAUCUUUGGUGACGGAGAGGUGGCAACGGCGACGGAGGCCGUUGCAACCCCUUCACCACUAGCAUCUUCAUUUUCAUCAGAGUCGUACUCUUCAUGCACCACCAAACCCUUUUGAAGUACCUUCUUCAUGCACCACCAAAUCCAUGACGAAGUGACUCACAUUCCCAAAAUUUUAGCAAAUCCUCACACAUUGGCCUUUGGAUUUAGAGCCACUUGAUUUGUUCUUGGAAUAGUAGAGCUUAGAGUUUCUCUUGUUGCCCCAAAAUUGCCUUGACGCAAGAGCCACGUGCUCGUGGUAAGCAUAUUUGGUGUCUUCGGGGCAAUACUCUUCUUCUUCCUCUUCUUAGAAUACAUUGUCCUUCAAAGCAAGGUUGGGCUUCUUUGAGCGUUGAACUCGAGCAAGUGCAUUGUCAGCGGUCUUGUUCAAAAUGUUCAUAGCAAUAAACUCAUCCAACACGUCACUAGAUGACAGGAUAUGGAAGUCUGGUCUCUGAUGGAUCACGGAUGACAUACUCUUGUUGAAAGGCAUGAUAGCCUUGAGGAAUUUGCGCCUGAUCCAAUUUUCAUUCGUGUCCUAGCUCUAGUGAUCUCGUAGUGAGACCGCAAGAGUAGUCAAUCUCCGGUAAAGCUCACGAGGAUCUUCAUGUUCAUUCAUGACAAACUCAUCGGCGUCAUCAAGAAUGACCUCAAAGUUGGAGCUUUGAAUGCUUGAGCUUCCCUUGUACAAAGAUUUGAUAUGCUACGAUGCAUCGUUGGCAAGAGUGAAUGGGCACAAAUGAGGAAGCUCUUCAGGAGGCAUGGUAGCUUGAAGAAUGAACAAGGCGGAUGCAUUGAGUUGGUUGUCAACUUCUUCUCUUGGGGACAAGUUGCUAGGAUCAUGAGGAUAGUAGCCUUGUUCAAUGAUACUCCAAAGUUGUGUUGAACUGUAAUUCAGAUUAGACUUGCUACAAAAAACCCAAUUAGAAAAGUUAAUCAAGUCAAGCUUACGAGGAGGGCCAUGAUUGUUUAUAUGAGGCGAGGGGACCGGUCCACAAUAGGACGCCGGAGGCGCAACCGCGGCAUGGAUACUUUGCCCAUUCUUUCCUUGAGACAAGUUGUGCUUCAAGCUAUUAUCCGCCUCCUUGAUGGAGUCGGCAUCCAUUUCCAAGGAAGUAGGAUCAACUACUUCCUUGGGAGCGGUAGGAGGUUUCAUGCCCUCAAGAAAUUUGCCUAGAAUUUCUUGAACUGUUUCCACCGUUGAGAAUUUAAGGGAGGACAUUGCCUCAUUUAAAUGACCACGGGUGAUCACGGUUUGAUCCACGACCGUGAGAACAUGCUCGUCCCUUUCCCAGUCAUCAACCAUACUCUUUAGGCAGUAAAUCCCUUAAUAAAGCGACAAGGAUCUGAUGCCAAUUAAAAGGAUCGGUAUGGUCGACUAGAGUGGGGUGAAUAGGUGACUAACAAUUUUUAACUCCUUUUAACAAAAUUAUGGCUCAGCAAUAAAAUAGGUUGUCUAGAUAUGCAACUAGGUAGACAACCUAUAUGACAAGCACAACAACAACAACAACAAAUCCAAGCACAAGAUAAACACACAAUGAAAGAUUGCACAAAGUAACCGCAAGUGGAGUCAAUGGAGACGAGGAUGUGUUGCCGAAGUUCUCUCUUUUGGAGGAGGUAUGUCUCCGUUGGAGAGGUGUGGAGGCACAAUGCUCCCCAAGAUGUCACUAGGACCACCUUAUUCUACUCACGCCCCCGCACGAUGUAAGAUGCCGUGAUUACACUAGCGGUACCCUUGAAGGCGGCGACUGAACCUUUACAAAUUAACAAGGUUGGGGCUCUCUCCACAACUUAAUUGGAGGCUCCCAGCACCACCACGAAGCUUCACCACAAUGAAAUGUGGCUCCGAGAUAAACUGUUUCAUCUAGGAUGCCAAAACAUCCAAGAGUAACAAGAUCCACAAGAAAUAUAUGGGGGAUUCAAUUCUCCUUUAGUGGAAGUGUAGAUCUAGGUCUCUGAUGUUUGCUUGAACUACGUCGGUAUUUCCCCAAAGAGGAAGGGAUGAUGCAGCACAGCAACGGUAGGUAUUUCCCUCAGUGAUGAGAACAAGGUUAUCGAACCAGUAGGAGAACCAAGCAACACUACGUAAACGGUACCUGCACACAAAGAACAAAUACUUGCAACCCGACGUAGAUCCUUUGCGUUAUGCCUAGCUAGGCAUAAUGCAAAGAUUCAAGUAUUGUCAUCUUUGUUUCUAGAUCCAUACGAUGCCCUCAUGAUUGAUUCAUAUGGUGGCUUAAAUUCUAGUUCUAGGGAAGUGUUCCAUACCCUUCCUUAGUGGAAAUUGAAAUUUAAUAUUGCUUUCUUUCAUAUCAAUCAUGGCACCAAUAGUGCGUAAAAACGGUCUACCAAGAAUAAUUGGACAAGACGGAUUGCAAUCAACAUCAAGAACAAUAAAAUCUAUGGGCGCAUUAUUCCUAUUUGCAAGAAUAAGAACAUCAUUAAUUCUUCCCAUAGGCUUUUUAAUAGUGGAAUCCGCCAAGUGCAAAUUUAAAGAACAUUCUUCAAUAUCGGUAAGACCAAGCACAUCACAUAAAGAUUUUAGAAUUGUAGAAACACUAGCACCCAAGUCACAUAAAGAAAAACACUCAUAAUUUUUAAUCUUGACUUUGAUAGUAGGUUCCCAUUCAUCAUGUAAUUUUCUAGGAAUUGAAACCUCUAAUUCCAACUUUUCUUCUAAGGCUUUCAUCAUAGCAUCAACGAUAUGUUUAGUAAAAGCUUUAUUUUCUUCAUAAGCAUGGGGUGAAUUUACCAUGGAUUGCAACAAAGAAAUACAAUCAAUCAAAGAGCAACUAUCAUAAUUAAAGUCUUUGUAAUCCGAAAGAGUGGGCACAUCACUAGUUAAAGUUUUGACCUCUUCAAACCCACUUUUAUCACUUUUCUAAACACGAUUUUCACCCUUCGAAUUAUCGGGAUGCCUUCUAGCUAAAUCUGACUCUUGUUCAGUCCCUUUUUCAUCAAUCUUAAUUUUACUAAACAAACAAUCAAUGGAAGAAACACCAAUCAUUUUAAGACCUUCAUCACUUUUAUGAAAGCAAUCACUAGAAAACGCUUUUUCUAAAAAUUCACUUCUAGCUCUAAGCAUAGCGGUUCUUUUCUUACUUUCAUCCAUAGAAACAUAAAGAGCCUUAAUUGAUUCCUCAACCUUAGGCACAAAAAAAUUCAACUUGAGAUUUUCUACAUCAUGAGAAAUUCUAUCAAUACUUCUAGACAUAUCAUCAAUCUUAUUCAGGUUUUCUUCUAUUGUAGUACUGAAAACUUUUUGAGUAUUGAUAAAUUCUUUAAUAUUAUUCUCAAGAUCAAAGGUGUUCCUAUUAUUAUUAUAAGAAGGAUUGCCAUAUGAAUUACCAUAAUUAUUAGAGGAAUUACUAGGAAAAGGCCUAGGAUUAAAAUUACCUCUAUAAGCAUUGUUAUUGAAAUUGUUUCGAGAGAUAAAAUUCACAUCUAUGGCAUCACUAUUUUGCUCAAUCAAGGUAGACAAAGGCACAUCAUCAAAAUCAAUAGGAGCACUUUUAUUAGCAACCAAAUUCAUAAGAGCAUCAACUUUUUCACUCAAAGAAGAAAUUUCUUCAACCGAAUUAAAAAAUUUACUAGUAGGAGCUCUUUCGGUAUGCCAUUGUGAGUAAUUUGCCAUAAUAUUAUCAAGCAAUUUAGUAGCUUCACCCAAAGUAAUUUCCAUAAAAGUACCUCCCGCGGCGGAAUCUAAAAGAUUUCUAGAAACAAAAUUCAACCCUGCAUAAAAAAAUUGUAUGAUCAUCCAAAGAUUUAACCCAUGAGUUGGGCAAUUCCUUAGCAGUAAUUUCAUCCUUUCCCAAGAUUGUGCAACAUGCUCAUGUUCAAGUUGCUUGAAAUUCAUGAUCUGGGUUCUGAGGGAAAUAAUUUUCGCAGGCGGAAAAUACUUAGUAAUAAAAGCAUCCUUGCACUUAUCCCAAGAAUUGAUACUAUUGCGAGGCAAAGAAGAAAACCAAAUUUUUGCACGAUCUCUCAAAGAAAACGAAAAUAAUUGCAACUUCACAAUAUCAUUGUCCACACCUUUUUUCUUUUGCAUAUCAAAUAAUUCCACGAAUGUGUUAAGAUGGGACCCGGCAUCCUCAUUAGGAGUACCGGAAAAUUGAUCUUUCAUAACAAGAUUCAGCAAAGCGACAUUAAUAUCACAAGACUCCACACUAGUGGCGGGAGGAGUAAUCGGAGGGCUAAUAAAAUCAUUGUUGUUGGUAUUGGAGAAAUCACACAACUUGGUGUUCUCUUGAGUCAUCGUGACUACAUAACAAGAUUGCACUCAAAAAUAGAUCUGACGAGAAAACGGCGAACGAAAAAGAGGGCUAAUAAAACGGCAAAGUUUGUGAAGUAGGGGAGAGGAAACGAUAGGCAAAUGGAAAAUAAUGUAAAUUGCAAGGAGAUGAGAUUUGUGAUUAGGAACCUGGUAGAUGUUGAUAAUGUCUCCCCGGCAACGGCACCAGAAAUUCCUUUUGGUGUUUGCUGGAACUACGUCGGUAUUUCCCCAAAAGGGAAGUGAUGACGCAGCACAGCAACAGUAGGUAUUUCCCUCUGUGAUGAGACCAAGGUUAUCGAACCAGUAGGAGAACCACGCAACACCAUGUAAACAGCUCCUGCACACAAAGAACAAAUACUUGCAACCCGAUGUAAGAGAGGGGUUGUCAACCCCUCACGGGUAAAAAGAUAGGCAAAAUUGUAGUAGAUUGGAUAAAUAGAUCUCGCGGGAACGCGAGAUAAAAUAAAUAAAUAAUAAUUGCAGCAAGGUAUUUUUGUAUUUUUGGAUUAAUAGAUCUGAAAAUAAAACCGAAUAAAAAUAGAUCUCGAAGGCAAAUAUAAUAAAGAAGAGACCCGGGGCCCGUAGAUUUCACUAGUGGUUUCUCUCGAGAAAAAUAGCAUACGGUGGGUAAACAAAUUACUGUUGGGCAAUUGAUAGAACUUCAAAUAAUCAUGACGAUGUCCGGGCAAUGAUCAUUAUAUAGGCAUCACAUCCAAGAUUAGUAGACUGACUCCUUCCUGCAUCUACUACUAUUACUCCACACAUCGACCGCUAUCCAGCAUGCAUCUAGUGUAUUAAGUUCAUGGAGAAACGGCGUAAUGCAAUAAGAACGAUGACAUGAUGUAGACAAGAUCUAUUUAUGUAUAAAUAGACCCCAUCUUGUUAUCCUUAAUGGCAACGAUACAUACGUGUCGGUUCCCCUUCUGUCACUGGGAUCAAGCACCGUAAGAUCGAACCCAUCACAAAGCACCUCUUCCCAUGGCAAGAAAAACUGAUCUAGUUGGCCUAACUAAACCAAAGAUUCGAAGAGGAAAUACAAGGCUAUAAGUAAUCAUGCAUAUAAGAGAUCAAAAGACUCAAAUAACUUGCAUGGAUAAAAACAUAGAUCUGAUCAUAAACUCAAAGUUCAUCGGAUCCCAACAAACACACCGCAAAAAGAGUUACAUCAAAUAGAUCUCCAAGAGACCAUUGUAUUGAGAAUCAAAAGAGAGAGAGGAAGCCAUCUAUCUACUAACUACGGACCCGUAGGUCUACAAUGAACUACUCACGCAUCAUCGGAGAGGCACCAAUGAGGAUGAUGAACCCCUCCGUGAUGGUGUCUACAUUGGAUCUGGUGGUUCUGGAACUUGCGGGGGUUGGAAUUGAUUUUCGUCGACUCCCCUAGGGUUUCUGAAUAUUGGGGUAUUUAUAGAGCAAAGAGGCGGUGCGGGAGGCCACCGAGGUGGGCACAACCCACCUGGGUGCGCCUGGGCCCCCAGGCGCGCCCUGGUGGGUUGUGCUCCCCUCGGAGCUCCCCUCAGGUACUUUCUUGGCCCAACAGGUGUCUUCUGGUCCAGAAAAAAUCCACAAAAAGUUUCGCUGCAUUUGGACUCCGUUUGGUAUUGAUUUCCUGCGAUGUAAAAAACAAGCAAAAACAGCAACUGGCACUGGGCACUAUGUCAAUAGGUUAGUCCCAAAAAAUAAUAUAAAAUUGCUAUAAAAUGAUUGUAAAGCAUCAAAGAAUGAUAAUAUAACAGCAUGGAACAAUCAAAAAUUAUAGAUACAUUGGUGACGUAUCAGUCUCCUCCGUCAAUCCCUAGAAAAUCAACAACUUUGUUGGCUAGGAAAGGAGAUCGGUCAAGUUGGAGCUUGAGCAACAACGGAGCAAAAGGAGUAGAAGUGUGUCUUCAUGGAGAAGAAGACUCACUAUAUAUAGUGGGUAGGUGAAUCCAAUAGUUAUGUUCUGGAAAUGCUCAAGUGGUACUGCCGCUAAAUAUAGGGGAUUGACAAAGGCACACCGAGAACCAGCUCAGACCUGGCAUGGUAGUAUUGCCGGAGCGGUACUACCGACUCAAUCUAUUGUUACUACCACUAAUUACAGGUGGGUAAUAGAAACCCCCAUGAUAGUACGCGCGGCACACUAGCGGAAGUACCACACAAGCGGCACUACCGUAGGAGCCAGUAGUACUAUCGUGAAUUACCUGAGGGUAACAGAAACCCUCACGGUAGUAGAUGCGGUACAACCACGGAAGUAUCGCCCAAGCAGUACUACUAUAGGAGACCCUCACGUUAGUAGACGCGGUACAACUACGGAAGUAUCACACAAGCCGUACUAUCGUAGGUACCAGUGGUACUAUACCGCUUGGUAGAUACCCGUAAAGCCAGAACAAAACAGAAGGAAUGCUCCAAAGUUGGGGAAGGUACCGAGGGUGCAUAUAGGUUGUGUAUGUGUUGAAUCCGCCAUACCUUCCAAUGCGGACCUUCUCUUAAUAGUACGGAUUCCCUACUACUCGAAUCAAAAGAAAAGAAACGUCGGAGAACCCGUCUUCGCUCUUUUCCUAACCGAGGGGAAUAAAAUUGUCUUGUGCCAUAGAUAUGAAUAUCUGAAAUGCUCAAUGCACAAGGUUAGUCUGCAAAACUCAUUGUCAUCAACACCAAACCAAUUAGAGAGAGACGUGCCCUUUCAUUAACUGAAUAAAUAUUAUAACUAGACCAUAUAUUUCAUUUUGCAGUCUACUAUUAGUCAUUAAGGUCUCUGAAAUCUUAUACAGUAUAUCUAUAUACAAAAGAAAGUCACCGAAGUCAAGUUAAUAAUAUAAUAACAUAAGGUUAGGUUUCGUUGUUUGUAACUAGCAUGCUCAUUAAAAUUGACUAAGUUUCUAUUCCCUAAAUUUGGAACACGUUUUAAAUACAUAAACUUACUACAUCCAUUUUUUUGUUAUAACAAUCGAUAGCCAAAAUUUUCGUAGUACAAAUAUUCAGUAAGUCCAAAAUGUGAUUUCUUGGAGGAGAACAAGAGAGUAGACACACUAUAACUUAAAUCAACACACGUAUAUAUAUUAAGUUUAAUUGUCUAUAACUAACAAGUCAUUCCAAUUGUCUGAGUUUGUUUUUCUAUACUUACAAACAUUGUAAAAUUGCAUACUAAAUACUUCCAUUCUUAUUUGUGUUCUAAGAUUCGGCAGCAAAAUUUCCUUACAAGAAAGAUUCAAUAAGCCAAAGACACGAGUUCUUUGAAGAGGACAAGUUAGUCGAGUCACAAAGAACAAACAUAUAUUGAACACAUAGCAUGCAUAUGCAACGGUUGUACCAACAUGAAUCUUCGAAGAAGAUCAAACAUACAAUAACAUCUAACCUUUACCGGAAAAGGUUUAGAUAUACCUCUCCUGAUGUUGUUAGUAUUUGUUGACGUCUCGAGGCGCUCAGAAAAGAAUCGCUUCGGUCCGUUUUCCUCUACACCAAUGCCUCUAGAAUACAAAAGUUCUAACAAAAGAAGAAGAAAGUACUUCAAGAACAGACAACACGAACAGAUUGAAAGGUUUUUCCACAACGCUACCGAUUUACUACAAACCUGCUGCCCCGACAGUCUAUUGAAAUAUUGAUACCUUCAAAAAUGGUCCCACAGAAACAGGUAUAUUUCUUUCCAUUUACGAUGCGAUUACAUAUAUGUAUGGAGAGAUAUAGACGGGAAGUACAUGAAAUAAAUAACAAGUUUCUAAAUCUUGGCACGAAUCAGCGAUCAACAAUAUACUGGCCUUGUCCCUACUUGUCACAAAUCUCCUCCUGCAAGCCCUGAGAUAUUUUUGUAUCUCACCACCACGAGAGUUCCUAUAGGACGCCUGUUGUGGCUUCGCACAGGGACGAUCCAACUGGGCCCGCCCAUUUAUAGUUCAACUAAAAAAAGUUAAUGUAGAGACACUGUAGCGUUUCGGUACAGUAGCAAAACGAUACUAUACAAUUCGGUUCACUGCAGCGUCCUAUUUUUCGCUCUUUUUCCAAUGACUUUAUUAAAAGACGAAUAUAUACGCUGAAGUUUUUUGAAUACACAUUGAACAAUUUUAAAAUACAGUGAACAUAUUUGUAAAAUAACGCUGAACAAAUUUUCAAAUACACAAUGAACGUUUUUUAAUACAUGAUGAACAUUUUUAUAAUGCAUGGUCAACUUUUUCAUAAUAUAUUAUCAACAUUUUCUUAAUAUAAAGAGAAUAAAAAGAAAAAAACUUAAACAGAAAAAAGGAAACGUAAAAUAAAUAAAAAUGAAAGGAAGAAAGUAACAAAAACAGGAACAAAACCACUUAAAACCGAACAAAAACAAUAAAAAACCAGAAGCAAAAAACCCAAAGAAAAACAAAAAAAGGCAUAGAAAACAACACCGAACGAAAACAUCACGUGAAUCCGUACGUGGGCCGGCCCAACUGGAGGCUCGCUUAAGCGAAGCCAUGACUAUUUGACGGUGGCUCAACCAGUUGACGAGCGCUCCUUUGGGAGCCUCCCAACGAUCACUUGGGGCGGGCUCAGAAUGUGCCACUUGGCGCGCUCUUAGCCGCCGCCACGUGUCACACUCUGGGCGCUUCCUUCGGGUUUUUUUUAAUUUUUCUGCAACCGUUUUCGGUUUUUUGAUAUUUUUUGGUUUAUUUACUUUUCGGUUUUCCACGGUCUUUCUUAACUUUCUACAAAAAAAAUUGCGCAAAAACACGUUGUUUUUUUUGCCUCGGUGAGAGGCAAGAUUUUGCUUCCACGAGAGGCACACUACAGGAAUCAGCUACUUUGCCGUCUGCCACGGCAGACGGCAAAGGCAAGGAUGGCGGACGGCAAAGGCCUUUGCCGUCUGCCGCGGACGGCAAAAGGCUCCGGCAAAGUAGGCUACGGUAAAGAGCAUCUUUGCCGUCUGCUUUCUGAAGCGGACGGCAAAGGGGCCUUUGCCAUCAGCGGCGGACGGCAAAGAAAGCCGACGGCAAUAAAUUCGCUGUUAGUCCGUUAGGCGUCUAACGGCGGCCUUUGCCGUCCGCCGCUGACGACAAAGACUGCAGGCUCUUUGCCAUCUGCUGGCCAAAUAGGCAUUAAUUCUGUUUCUUCUUAUAUCCAUUCAUUUUCACAGAAAAUCAAACACAGAUAUAUAUAUGACCAAUAUAGCAUAUCCAACACAUUACCAAUACUCAUGAACACAUAUAUAUCCAACACAUAUCCAUGAACACAUCCAACAAAUAUUACAAGGAAUGAUCUAAAACUAAAUAUCUAUUUUCCUAAAAAAACUAUCUUAUUACUAAGAUCUUCUCCGGAUCUUCUUCUUUUCUUCCAACCUGCAUAACAAAAACACUAAGAAAGAGAGAAUGGGUUACGAGUAGAAAUGUAGCAUUUCACUUGGUGAAAUGCAAUGCUGUAGGAGCAGUACAGGAGUAUAUAUACUUCACAAAUACACAUAGAUGGUCACUGACCAAAACCCUGACACAGCAAGAAUCCAUCACAGAGAGCUCCAAUACAAGUUGAUGCUCAUCUUCAGCAGCUAACCACAGCUAAUAGAGCCUCACAUCCAACAAGAUCAAGAGCUAGAGCUAUGCAUUAGAGAGAUCAGGAGGGGAGCAAGGAGAAGCUCACCAAAAGGAGUUGUAGCCGAAGUAGGAUGCAGCCACACCAUCACUAUGGUGUGACCAGCAUCACAACCAACACCACCACAACAAGCCGGAGCUUGCCAGAGAGCACCACAACAGCGGCACCAGUGAGAGCACGGGCACGAAGGCGCCAACCAGGGGCACCGCAGCACGGAGGCGCCACCCAGGGGCACCACCGCGCCACGGCACAUCCAGCACCGCCGGAGGAUCCUCACGGCGACCGGACCUAAAUGUGGUCCGUCCACUUUGGUUGCACAUGCCAAAUCAGCGAUGAAUGAGCUACUUUUCCCGCACAGCAAGCAAACACUCCAUUCAAUAGAAGAAAGGCCGGUUUUACAGAAGCAAAGAUUAAAGGUAGAAUGUUCAGAAGCAAUGAAUGAUCGAUUUGGCAUAAGCAGGACCAAACCAAAACCAUGGCAGAAACUAAAUUGACAACACAUGAUGAUGCCUCCGAAGUAGACAAGGACAGCACAAGUUUUACCUAUACACAACACAACGAUCACUAUACGAAAUAGUAAGCAUUUAUAGUUUCCUUGUGUUUGAUUGAUUGACACUCAUUAUUAACAAGUCAAGUUAAAUCCCUGCAGCAUAUGUAGUAAGGACCCUAUCAAAUCGAGCUAACCACGGCAGCCCUCAAGCAGAGUAAACCGAUUUAUGGCACAAUUAUAGAAGUGAACAACUGAGUCGUCCUCAACCAUUAUUGCAUAUGCAGCAAAAACAAGAUUGAUAAUUUUUUUUGUUUGGUUUAGAUCUUGAGUGGACGGGUGCAAGGCAGGAAAAGAAGAAAUCCAAGAGGGGGGAGAGGAGAAGGGGCGGACCUGGAUGGUGUUGGGGCAGUGGUGGAGCUGCGUCCUCCACGGCGUCCUUCCCGUCCAUGGCGUCCUUCCCGUCCAUGGCUUCCCGGCGUGAUGGAUCUGUGAGGGAGAGGAGACGCGACGUGACGCGGUGAGAAAGAGAGGGAUGGAUGUGACGAGGAGGAGUGAAGAGACUCACCUGAGUCACCGGAGCAACACCGGAGCCACGCCGGCGAUGUGGUGACCGAAACCCUAGCCGCAGGGGAGGGUCACGCGUGGUCGCAGGAGGACGCGUGAGUCAGAUCUGGUCGGAGGGGAUGGAGGAUCGGGGCGAGGGGGUCACGUGGGUGUGCUGGGCGCCGUCGAAUCCCGUCAGAGCUCGCCAAAAUCGGCCGCCGUAGGUGCUCGCGCGAGGGAGAGGAAGAGACGAGCGGGAGAGAGAGGGGGAGAGAGAGGAGGUGGGGCCGGGCGAAGAGAGGGGAGACAGAGAGAGGAGGUGGGGGCAACGUUUUCUUUGUACCCGCAAGCGGUAGUACGGCUGUUCUUUGCCGUCCGCCGUUUUGCAGACGGCAAAGAGGGGGCGUAUUUUUCGUAAACGGCUCGUUAGUGGGGGCCACCUUUCUCUUUGCCGUCCGCCAGCUGACGGCAAAGAUUCUUUGCCGUCCGCCAGCUGACGGCAAAGAAGUGACUGAUGGCAAAGGCUUGUUUUGCCGUCUGCCUGUUGUUUGCCGUCCGCUUUUAUCUAGCUGAUGGCAAAGACCUUCUUUGCCAUCUCCUAGCAGACGGCAAAGAGCUGGCAGAUGGCAAAUUAGCUGAUUCCAGUAGUGGCACGGUCGUGCCUCUCGAAAACGAAAAAACGUAUCUUCCUUUUUUUUUCUUUCAUGAGAGACAUGGUUUUGCUUCCACGAGAGGUAUGAUUUUGCUUUCGCGAGAGGCACAGCCUUGGCUCUCAGAAACCGGAAAAACAUGUUUUCUCUUUUUUCUUUUCUUUCAUGAGAGGUACGGGCCGUGCCUCUUGGAAAUGAAAAAAACAUGUUUUUUUUCUUCUUAUUGUUAUUUUUGCUUCCGCAAGUGGUACGGAUUUUCUUCCGCGAGAGGCACGGCCCUGCCUCUCGGAAACAGCUUCCGGAAAGGGAAAAAGAAACAUGCUCCUAGACAAAUCAAAAUUAGAAGGGUACCAAUUCUGCACUAUAGCUUCGAUAGGAUAUCUGUAAUUUGGAUUUGUUAUUUUUGUAUAAAUAUAUUAGAAAUAAGCUUACAUAGUUAUGAUUCGUUUACAUUAACACCUACAUGGAAUCUAGUUUUGAAGAUCUCGACGCGAUGAAUCUAACAGUGAAAACGGUUCACGAUUUGGACGCACGAUUUAAGAGAUAAAACGUUCUGAAUAAAUUGAUCUAAAAAAAGGAAAACUCACAAGUUACGACAAGUGGCGCACUGACUUGUCACAACCUGAGAAGGUGGGAGUGAUCUUUGGAAGGAGUACUCCUCAAUAACUGAUUUUGGCUCCUAUAUGGCGCGUAGGUCGCUAGCUUGUAUAUUAGAAAUAAGCUUGCGACGUAGCGCGUAUCCGCCAGAUCCCACGCAACCGGGCGUAUGUAUGGGCCGGCCCACUUCUUGAUUUUUUUGCUUUCGGUUUCUCCUUCUUUUUCUCUUUUCUUUUCUGUUUCCUCUUUUUUUUCUCUUUUUUCUUCUUUAUGUUUUCAUUUUUUUGCGAAUUUCCUUUUCAAAUUCGUGAAUAUUUUUUGUUCAUUGAUUUCCAAAAUUGUUUAUCAAUGUAAAAAAUGUUCAUCAAACACAAUUUUUUCAUCAAAUUCAAAAUUUGUCCAUCAAAUUUAAAAAAUGUUCAUCAAAUUCAAAAUUUGUUCAUUAAAUUACCUAUUUUCAUUUUAAACUUUGAAACGCCUUUCAAGUUUUUCAACAUUUUUAAAAAUCGUGAAUAGUUUUUGUAAUCAUGGACAUUUUCUUGAAAUUUUGCUCAUUUGAUUUAAAAAAUGUUCAUCAAAAUUCAAUUUUUUGCUCAUAGAAUUACAAAAAUAUUCAUCAAAUUCGAAAUGUCUUCAUAGAUUUCAGAAAAUGUGUUGAUCAAAUACAAAAAACUUUCGUCAUUAUUAGAAAAUUCUCAUUAUUUUUUCAUGAAAAUAAGAAAAUGUUCAUUAAAAUGCAAAAAAUGUUCACCCUUUUCAGAUCGCAAACAUUUUUUGACUUAAAGAACCUGUUUUUUUAAUUCGGUGAACAUUUUUUUGUAUAUGUGAGAAUUUAUCAUUUCCCGAGCAUUUUUUCAAAUCAUGAACAAUUUUUGAAUUCACGAACAUUUCACAAUUAGCAACUUCUUUUGAAAUACAUAAUUAUUUUUAAAAAGAUAAAAACUUAAAAACAAAAAUAAGGAAAAAAAAGGGGUGCUUCCCGCUUUUCACGCCCACAUGGUCCAUCGCUCGUGGGGCGCGUGGGGAGGGGGUGGGGGGUGGGGAUGCACGCGCUCGUUGUUCCUGGCACGCUGUACGCGCCAAAUAGGGGGAGCUCCUAUUCAGCACUUGUUGCCGAAUCACUAAUUGAGGAGUACUCUUUCCAAAGAUCACUUCCACCUCCCAGGUUGCGACAAAGUGGCGCCCUGCAUGCGCGCCACUGGUCGCAACCUGGGAGUUUUACCUUUUUGUAGAUAUGUUUAUUCAAAACGUUUUAUAUUUUAAACCAUGCAUUCAAAUCUCCAACCGUUUUCACUGUUGGAUUCCUCGCGUCAAGAUCUUCAAAAUUAGAUCCCAUGUUGAUAGGUUUGACAAACUUUGUUUUUCACAAAAAAACGGACAAAAAAUCGGACAAGGAACACGUCUUUUCCCUUUCCAAAAGCCGUUUUUGAGAGGCAUGACCAUGCCUCUCACAGAAGAAAAAGAAUAAAAACACAUUUUUCCGUUUUCGAGAGGCACGACCGUGCCUCUCGCGGAAGAAAAAACAUGUCUCCCGUAGAAGAAAAACCGUGCCUCUCACAGAAGGAACAAAAAAGAGAAAACGCAUAUUAUUUUUCCGUUUUCGAAAGGCACGGCUGUGCCUCUCGCGGAAGCAAAACCAUACCUCUCACGGAAGGAAAAAAACAGAGAACACAUUUUUUUUCGUUUCCGAGAGGCACGGCCGUGCCUCUCGUGAAAGGAAAUCCAUUCCUCUCGCGGAAGCAAAAUCAUGCCUCUCGUGGAAGCAAAAAAACGUGUUUUUUUCGUUUCCAAGAUGCACGGCCGUGCUUUUCGCGAAAGCAAAUCCAUGCCUCUCGCCGAAGCAAAACCGUGUCUCUCGUGAAAGGGAAAACACAUUUUUUCACACAAAAUAAUUUUUUCCUUGAAUUUUUUUGUCGAAAAGCUUAGAAAGACCGAUGGAAGAGCAAAAGGCCAAAAAAGGAAAAAGAGCGUGCAAAAAGUCAAAAAUGUGUGCGGAAAAUAAAAAUUAAAAUCCGGAGGGAGCUCGUCAUGGCGUGCUCUCAGCCCAACCCAAGUGAUCGUUGGGAGGCUCCCGAAGAAGCGCUGGUCAACUAGUUGCUCUCGCUUGUUUGCGCUCGGUAAACCAACCAGCACUCACGCGUAAGCAUUUGUGGGCCGACUCAGCUAGUGGCUGAGCGGGCACCAGGUUAGACCGGUCCAGCGUUACUAAAAAAAGGUUAUACCGGUCCGGCUGUUGGCCAGUCAACAAUUGAGUUUCGAAGAAAAAGGAAUCCGGGAAAUCACAAAAAUCGUGAAUUCAAAAGAGUUCAUGAAUUUUGAGAAAAGAUUCACAAAAUUUUAAAAAUUUCACAAAUUUGGAAAAGUUCAUCGAUUUGGUAUAAACAUUUUAUUGAUUUUAAGAAAACUUGACGAAUUUGAAAAAUGUUCAUCAAUUUUUAAAAAAGGUUCAUCAAUUUUGAAUUAAAAGUUCACAAAGUUGAAAAGAGUUCAUUAUUUUUGAAAAAAAAUUCAUCAGUUUUUCAAAUAUUCAUGAAUGUGGAAAAAAUCAUCAAUUUUUAAAAAGAUGUGCAUGGAUUUUGAAAUAAAAAUUUCACGAAUUUAAGAAAACAAAAAAAACUAACAAAUAGGAAAAAUAAUAAAAACCGCACAGAAACUGACCAGCAAACCGGGAAUAACCGGUUUGGGAAGCUCCUGGAAGCUUCCCAAAACCGGGGCUUCCGCGGUCUAGGGAGAGAAUAAAAAAGGGAAAAGAAGUAAUUUAGUGCGUGUGUUGCAGUGUCCUAGUGGUUAGUGCUCUGGUGUGUGUAUAAACAGGGGCGGAGCCAGGAUUUGGACAUGAGGGGGGCGGAAAACCAAAUCCAUAUCUUCAAAAAAAAAAUCACCUCGUGCUUCGUCUACCAUUAUGCAUAACUUUAUUAGUACAAUUGUUCUUCUCUAAUUUGUGUCUGAAUUCUUUGAGAAUGUAACUUACAAAUUUCUUGUUGCAUGAUAUGGUGGGUAUACUUUGCAUUUUUUUUUUGGUGCAUUUCGAACACAACAUCAAUUAUUUGCUAUAAUGGAGUAGCAAAUUCAGCGCUUCAAGAUAAUUAAUAAGGAAACAACUUCAGCGGUUCGAGAAAAAUGCCUUUAUUUGUAGAUCGUGUAUAUUCGUAUAUGGAUAUUCUCUCAUGUAUGGUUGAUAAGCACCCUCCAGAAUAUAAAAUCCCCAUGCUUCUUUUUCGUAUCAUGAGGGAGUUCCCAAAUUUGUUGACGCUUAGAGGGUCCCUUUCAUCAGUAUUGUUAUCUGCAAUAGACUGUUAUGUGACUUCUACCGAUGUCCGAUGCCACAACCCCCUAAUCAUCAGUAUUGUUAUUUGCAAUAGGUUGCUCCUCAGAUGAAUUUACAUUUUCGACACCAGUAAUGUUAGUGGUUGAAGUCGAAGCAAUUGGCUUGAAAAAGGAAUUUAUCCCUUAAUUGUUAAUGUCUUUUGUUUCAUCAUUGAUUACUGUACCAAAAAAGAAACUUGAUUAAUAGAUUAACACACUGUUUUAUUGUACAUAAUACCAAUUGACCAAACUAAGAUUGUACAGUUCAUAAUAGAAAUCCUAAUAGCUACUAACAUGUGGUGGUACCUUCUUCAUCUAUCUGAUCUCCCCACGUUUAGCAGUGCUCUGAUCUGCAUGCAGCUUGUGUUUGACACCGAAGAGUGGAUUGUAAAUCGAUUGAUGGUGUCCUCGUGAUGAGCGGUAGCCAGCACCCGCAAUGGUAAACAAAGAUUUGCACGAGAGGCGGCCGGCGGCGGCGGCAAAAGACGCCCUAGUCCAGAACACGCGUGUAUGCACGUUCAGCUAACGGGGCAAAACAACAAUCAAGUUACAACCGUACAUGCCUACAUGGGCUAUUGGGCUUUGGCUUCGUGUAGUGUAGCUGGUUUUCAUUUAUAGUAGUACUAAUUUACAUGUAUAUGGGCUAAUGAUGUAAUUAACUCUGGCCAAUUAGUAGACGCACAGUAUAUAGUAUACCUGCUACAAAUCGUUGAGGGGGGCGAGCGAUUGGCAGGGGUCUAGCCCCUGCUCGCCCCCCUUGUCUCCGCCCAUGUGUAUAAAGAGAUUUCGAGUUUGAAGCCUCGCGCGCGCACCUUUUUAAAAAAAAUUAAACAGAGAGGAAAUGCCCCAAAUAGGUGCUCCCCUAUUUGACGCCCUUCCGCUCAAAUAAAAAGAGAAGAUUAUUAAUAGGAUUGGCCCACCACCACCACACCACCACGUGGGCGCUUGUAUAAAUAGCUGCCCCAAGAAGCAACCCUCCGUGUGCCUCCCGUGCCGACCCGAACAAGACUCCUCCCUGCUGCCAAUCUUACCAUUCUUGUUCUUGCUCUUCUGCACCCCGCUCCUAGAUCGGGAUGGGGAAACCGAGGGCCUCCGGCGAUGUCAGGACCGGGGCGCUUGCUUCCGGCAGCGGAGGCGCGACGGCGCCCCUCCUCCCCCGGAAUGAUCGCAAGGCGGAUGCCAAGGUCCAGGGAGGGUCCCUCUUCAUGGUCCUGCUCAGCACCGCGGUGGCCGUGUGCGGCGCCUUCGAGUUCGGCACCUGCGUAAGCCCACCCUCCCUCUUAAUUUCAAAAGUGUAUUCAGCUAGACAUGUACCAGCAGCGUGCCUCGAAAAAGGUGACAGACAACAUGUGUGCCUAAAAGGUGAUGAGAGACGAAUGAAUAUAAGUUUAUAUAUACGCCAGCAACUUCUUGUCCGGGCGGGGAGCUGACCGACUCGUAUCCAUUUGCGAAACCCCACAAAAUUUCAUUACUGCCGUCUUCCACAAUUCAAAAGGUCCAUGAAUGUGGUGCACUGUUGUUUUCCCUUCUUCCGUCAGCAUUAGGUUUAGUUUACAAAAGCACAGGCAUUUUUUUUUUAAUUUUACUUCUGCAAAACUGCGAGGAUGGAUCUGCACAACAUGAAGGGGUUCUACUCUGGACAGUUGACCAGAUUUUAAUGUAUCUCAGCAGCGAUGCCUGCGCAUCUUUUAGCUACAGUCUAGUACAUGCAGUACAAUAUUUAAUUUUCCAAGAAUCUUAUUGUGUCACACAUGAUGGUACUAUCUAUGAUUAUGGACAGAGAUGAUCUGUUUACUCAUCCAAGUACCUUUUCAGGUUGGUUAUUCUGCACCCACUCAGUCAGGAAUAGAGCGCGAACUUGGACUAUCCAUGGCUGAGGUUUGUAACAUGAUUACUUGUCAGCCAUAUAGUUAUGCUGGAUUUUUUUUUUCUCCUGUUCUAAUCUUCUCUAUUCUGACCCAACUAAACCUUGCAGUUUGCAAUUUUUGGGUCUGUGUUGACUAUCGGGGCAAUGAUUGGUGCUGUUACCAGCGGACGCUUAGCGGACUCUCUUGGACGUAAAAUGGUAGCCUGUGUACUUUUACUUCAUUAUUAAUUAGGCUAGUUUGUGUGUUUUUAUUUCACAUUCAUCUUCUCUCCGUGUCGUAUUGUUUUGCUUCUCACAGACCAUGCGGAUAGCAGCUAUUAUUUGCGUUUUUGGUUGGCUUUCUAUACAUUUCGCUAAGGUUUGUUACUUGGUGAAGUUAUUCCAGGUCUUGUGCUUUCCUACCGAUAUCUUACCUUGAUGUUCUAAUGUAAAGGGUGCUACUAUGCUCUAUUUUGGAAGAACCUUGCUGGGCUUUUGUACUGGUGUUCUUUCUUAUGUGGUAUGUAUCACUUAAUUAGUUCAGCAUACACUCUUUAGUCUUGAGUCUCUUGUGCCUCAAUCUUGUAUCAGUUGUACAUGUUCAUGUUACAGUUUUAGUGUGCCGAUGUUGGGCUGGAUACUGCAGGUGCCUGUGUUCAUAGCUGAAAUAGCGCCUAAGGAUCUCAGAGGUGGCCUUGCAACUUCAAACCAGGUUUAUAACUAUAGGACAAAAACUCCAUAAUCCACAUUUAACCUCGUAAGUUUUAAUAGUUUCCACUUUCCACCACCUGGUUACGCAUGUGCAGUUGUUGAUCGUUUGUGGGAGUUCGACUACUUACAUAACAGGGGCGCUGGUUACAUGGCGCAAUUUGGUAUUAGUUGGUAAUUUGUUUUCACACCCAUAUAAACAUGGUUAUCUUUUACUUUCAUGCUGGGUGGAAUUACUUAGAAAAUUUUGUGUGUGCAGGUAUAGUGCCAUCUGUUCUCCUCUUAGUAGGUCUUCUCUUCAUUCCAGAGUCACCAAGAUGGCUGGUAAGGCACUUCAGAGUCUUCGGAGAAUGUUCUGUGAAACAUGAGGGUUUUCAAUUUAUCGGGGGGAGAAAAUGAUCUGUUUGCUCAAUGCUUUUCUUCCUUUAUAGUAUAAUACAAAGGUUAGUGGUGAUUUACAAAUCACCUUACAACCUCCCUUUGCCAGCAAAAGUUAGAAUGGAAAGUAUAAAGUACUUUAGCAGUACUCAUGAACUAAAAUGACCUUUUAGUCAUUUCAGUAUACAUAUAUUUGUAUGUUGAAUCUCACUGCACAAUUUUUACAGGCUCAGGCCGGAAGGGAGGAAGAAUUCCACGCCUCAUUGCAGAGGCUGCGUGGAGAGAAUGCUGACAUAUCUGAAGAGGCCAUUGAAAUCAAAGUUAGCUUUCUGUCCUAAUAGCCUGUAUAUAAUAGGGUACUCAAUGAUAAUAGUGCAAAGAGAAUUAUACUCAAAAUGAUCAUUUCAUCCAGGAGUAUAUUGAAUCCCUCCAAAGCUUCCCAAGGGCUAGGAUUCAGGACUUGUUUUUGAGCAGAAAUAUAUAUGCGGUCAUUGUAAGAUAUCGAUAUCACUUUGACUACUACUUCAUUUUAAAAUGCCAUCAUGAUUUGUGGCACUGAAUUUGGGAUUUGAUCAUAUGAGUUUUCUCAUAAUUCGUAACCUGGAAUAUCAUUGUGAUAUUAUAUGCACAGGUGGGUGUUGGCUUGAUGAUCUUCCAGCAAUUGGGAGGGAUAAAUGGUGUAGGCUUUUAUGCAAGCUUUAUCUUUAGUUCUGCAGGUAUGCAAAUAUCAUCAUCAUUGUGCCAUUCUUUUGAAGUCUGCAUGAAAUGUGUUGAUUCAUCUCAACUUCAGGAUUUUCUGGAAAACUUGGAACCAUAUUAAUUGGCAUUGUUCAGGUUUGCGAUACGCUGUUUUCCGUAAAUUUUGCUAAUUACUAGUAUGAAAUUUUGUUUAUAACCAUGAUCAUUUCAGAUUCCCAUUACAUUGCUUGGCGCCUUUCUCAUGGAUAGGAGUGGAAGAAGGGUUCUUCUAAUGGUAUAAGAUGAUACAAAGCUUAGCUAAUGUAUACAAAGAGAGAAUGUUAGGUUGAAUUUUGUUUUGAGCUUCUUAUUCAUACAGGUUUCCGCAUCUGGAACAUUCUUGGGCUGCUUUUUGGCAGGAAUAUCGUUCUACCUAAAGGUAACAGCAUCUUUCCUACCAUAUAGUAGUAGGAAAGUUCUUAUGGAACUUUUGGGAACAUAUGGGAGACUGGCGGGUUAUCAUAAGAUAAUGUUAUGGCAAGGAAAACUUAUUUUGUUUGUUGUUAUGUCUGUAACGUGAAUGAUAAAUAAUCUUUUAGGCGCACGGACUAUUCCUAGAAUGGGUUCCUGCAUUGGCUCUUUCCGGCAUCCUGGUAAGGAAUAUAUCACUCGUAUAUGCAUUGUAUUCUGUUAUUGCAAUGAAUUUCGAAACGUGCAUCUUCUGAAUGUUGAUCAUUCCUGCUUCUGAAAUAGGUAUACAUAGGUGCAUACUCAAUUGGAAUGGGCCCUGUCCCUUGGGUUGUCAUGUCUGAGGUAAAGAAGAAGAAUAAUCAGAACUUGUUUUGAAUUGAUAAAUCUGCAAUAGAAGUACGAAAGCAACUGCCCUUUCUCCUGGAUUAAUUGCUUGCAGAUAUUCGCGAUUAACAUCAAAGCAAUCGGCGGAAGCUUGGUGACCCUCAUUAGCUGGCUUGGUUCCUUCGCGGUCUCUUACUCGUUUAACUUCCUCAUGGACUGGAGCUCAGCAGGUAAUGGCACUAACACAACACUGCAGCUCUUCAUUUCAGUUUUCUGUUCCAUAGCUCCAGUAGUGACAAUCAUAUCUAGUAUCUCCAAAAAUGUAGAAAUGGAAAAUAACCAUCCAAUUGUUUAAUUGCUUACUGAUUGCGUAAUUUUAGAACAUCUCGUACCCUUUUUUUCUUCCAAAAGGAGAGAACGCUAGUGAUUUCUGAUUAGUCUUUUAGCUAGUAUGUCGAAAAGUAAGCAAUCCAGGGAAAAACUAGGAAUUUCAGCCGUUACACUUGUCUUGGUAAAUAUGAAAUGAAAUUCUCGAACACAGGUACAUAAGCAAAGUAGGGGCAUCAGAAGCAGAUUAUCAUAUUAGAACAGAAACUAAUCACACCAUAUGUAGGCAGUUUUGUCACUUACAUAUGCUCUCCUUGAUGUCUUCUGCCUUACAGGGACGUUCUUCAUGUUCUCUGCGGCGAGCUUGGUCACUAUACUGUUCGUGGCAAGGCUAGUGCCUGAAACCAAAGGAAAAACACUCGAAGAGAUCCAGGACGCAUGGAAUUAAAGAAGAUAAGGAUUAACAGAAACGACCAGAAGCAGCACAUAUACAUUGACAUUUUCCCCACUCUCCCAUAACCCCAUGCUAGCCUCCCUGUCAUGCAUCGUGCUGUAGUCUACUCUCUAGGUUAAGGAUAUUCAGAUUGUAAGGCAACAGAGCACUGUUCUGUUCUUGAGAAAAUAAAUGCAUAAUGUAUUAAUGACAUCUUUUCGCUGCCUUCUGUGGCACCUAAUUUUUGGUGAGCUUGGCCUAUUGAAUCGUUGGACGAUUCUCUAAUCUCUACUAAAUCGUCCCAUAUACUCUAUUGUUCAAAAGAAAAUCAUCCCAUAUACUCAACGGAGGGACUCAUCCAGUUCACUUCAGGGACAUUUGUAGUCUUAGGCAUCUCCAAAGCGGACCCUCGAACCUUCCGCAAGCAUCCGCACCGAGCUGUUCGAACGCAGUUUGCCAUCCAACGCGUCCUGCAUUGGUUCGCGAACCAGUGCAGAUGUCGGUUUUCCUGCAAGCCGGAAGCAAACUAGGAGGGGCUUUGUGAGAGUCCGGACACCAGCCACAUAGGACUCCGACACCCUCGGCCCACCCAAAACCCUGCCCAGACCUGCGUCUCCAUAUUUUCUUUUUCUCUACAUCCACUUUCUCUCUCGCCGCCGAAACUCCGCGGCCUACGCGACCUCCACCGCUACACGAGACCUCCACACCGCUUGUCCUCCGUUGUCGUUCCACACCUCUCAUCUAUCCGCCGCAGCGCAGGUACCAUCCACACCGCUUGUCCUCCGCUGUCGUUCCACACCUCUCAUCUGUCCGCCGCAGCGCAGGUACCAUCCACCCCUAUGGUAGUCACCAUGCCCAACAAGUGUGGUGAAAUGCCCGUGCUAAUCUUUUUGUCCCUUCUUUGAAGCAAUGGAUUCGGACAGGAAGUAUAUAUACAAGCACUACGUUGAGUCAUUCGACGAGGAGGACUACACGGGUGAAACGACUAUGAUGCAGACGGUCCUUGCAGAACAGGGUGAUCCUAUCGAACUUCCCGAUCGGAAUCCAUCCACGUUUGAUGAGUUUGUUCAAAUGCAUCAACAAAUUCGACAUUGAGCAACUCAUGGGUAGCUCAAGAAAGAUUUGAUUGAGCACCUAUGGGCGGUUAAAGGGGACAACUAGAACAUAUGUGCUAGUUGAUUUCAAGUUUGAACUAUGUUAAUUUGGUAACUUUGUUGGAUUGUAAUAUUUAAGUUAGAACUAAGAUUUGAUAUGUGAUUAUUCUGGGCUAGCGGACUUUAGAAAAGAGAGAUGGAAGAUUUGUGACUAGCUUUGGAUGGUCGGCUCCCACAUCAGUGUCCGCGAACUGGUCCCCACCGAUCCGCGGACUGAUACGAUGUCCGGUUUGGAGGUGAGAUGCCCUUAGGGUCCAAUUAAAAGCAAAAAAAAAAAAAAAUCUUUGGCAACUGGCUCAUUGUCGUCUUCCUCUGAGAUCAAAGUAAGAAGCGACACAACCUUAGAGCAUCUACAACAAUGAUUAGCUAAUUUGAUGUCGUAUACACCUGCGGGCGUGUCCGCUGGCAGUGCCCGAACAGAAGCCCAUAUGCUCUGUCCACAACCACGAACCCCAAAUUCGGAUACCAUAUUUCAUGCAAACUCAUGCAUAGCACAUAGAUCAUAGAGAUAGCAUAAAAAUUAAGAAAUUCGGACAUUAGACAUGCAAUUAGUCCAUGGGAUCAGUCUCACUGGCAAAGUCGUGGUUGGACUUGGCCAUGGCGGAGGAGGCAAAGAGAUUGGGAAAGAAGUGGAGAAGACGGGAGGAGAGCGGAGAGGGCGAGAGGAUUGAGACUAGUUAGGGUUCGUCCGAGCGGGUGGGGUUUUUGUGGGGACGAUGUGUCGGUGUUGAAUCCGGCGGAUCUCGGGUAGGCGGUCUCGAGCUGGUGUUCUUGGCUUAAGGGUAAAAGGACAAAGAGUGAUGGUGUCGUGUACUAGGAGGUACUCACCACGUCGUCUCCCAACUAGGUGGGUCGAGCCGAGGAUCCCCAUGGUGGUUCACUAAUGGGCCACUUCGAGCAGCCCAUGACAUAUACAAGGAAAAUACCACAAGACUUGGUGAUCAAGACAAGGAUUCCUCUCCACCGACGUAUCCGACGAGGACUCUUUUUAUCCUAGACCUCUAGUACAUUAUAUAACCCGAGGCCAGGCUAGUCGAUAGAUCAUAUUCUAGAUCAUUAGAAUCAUACACAACAAUCUCAUGGUAGAUACCUGUACUAUGUACUAUAUAUCCCCAUAUCAAUGCAAUCAAGAGUAAGACGUAGGGUAUUAUCUCUUUGAGAAAGCCCGAACCUAGGUAAAAUCUGGUGUCCAUGUUACCAUCGCACAAGACGCCUGGCUUAGGACUCCUACCUUGAGAUAUGCCAGAUCUAACAUCGACAUUGGUGGCCCAUACAGGUCAUUGCUAGUAGUUGCCGCGGUGUGAUGGGAAUUUAGAUCGGCUCCGGCGCGAUCUACGCGUCAUAACCGAGCUUCAUUAUCGACUUCGACAUCUUCGUCACCGGCUCGACUGGUCCCGCGUCGGAUCAUCAAGAUUAGACGGGUGCUUUCAUCAACAUCAACUCUGAUCUCUAUCAAGGUCAUGGGAGAAUCAUCCAUGGAGCUCGGGGGCUCAACGUCAACAUUGCCCUCGGGCGACCGCGCAGUUUUUCUGGACAGCAGAUAUAUGUUCACCGUCCUUGCCUCCUUGAGCAUUGUUUGAAAAAUCCUUCGGUGGAAUUGUGCAGAAUUGAACCUACAACAACCCUGUAAAAUUUCUUCAUAUUCCGUCGGAGGAAUCUCCGGCAAUCUGGACGAGUUUAGGGCGGGGCCUCCAGCGGCCAGCUCGGACAUCUUUUGGAAGAUCCAACCGUUCAUCGGCUACGGAAUUCCUAUAUCGGUCACCCUCAAAAUUUCAACUCGAUCCGGCCGUUCAAACUCCAGGAAAUGUCCGAGGAGUGCAUCAAUUUUUGGAUCAGUUUUCUGCGCGGAAACAAAUCCCACCCAAGUUCAUCAUUUUCAUAAACAGAUGAGACGUCCUUUUUUGAAGAAUUUUUUUCUAAGAUAUUGUGUUUUGUUCCCAAACACAUGUCAAUGAAUUUUAAUCCUUUUCCGAGGCGAUCUUCACCAUUGCGUCGGUGUCAAACCUGUCCAACCACGUUAUACCGACCUGAGACAGCAUCGACUACAUCGUCGCUUCAUCGAGCCAACAACUACCACCUCGGAUCAUUACUUUGGUGAGCCGACCAAGAGUUCAGCAUCAUGACAGGCCAAAAUAAUUGUCAAGACAACAUCAUCAUCCCACAGAUUGCACGGGUCGGGCACGCUGGCAUCAUCGCGCGGCCACUUCAUCAGGCCGGCAUCGACCACGUCACAAAUUUUGACCUACGUUGGCAUCGUCGUGCCGUCUCUUUUUAAACCCUACAUCCAACACACUGACCUACUUCGACGUGUUGGCUGACAUGGAGGCUCCAGCUUCUCCCCGCCGACCUGCUCCGGCACCUCGGCUAGACCAGGGCCUUCGCCAUCUCUUCAUCAACCUACUCCAGAGACUUCGGCGUCGCUUGUCGACCAGCUUCGUCACGUUAGCUAGGUCGGGUGCUUCGCCUCGCCACAUCGACUGUGUUGUGUCGCCACUUCAUCAAGUCGAGCUCCUCGCUCAGUUAGCUCAGUCUUGGGGGUUCGGACCUCGACCAGGCCGAGGACUUAGUCUUUGUCCCGCCACAAGCCCGGACCGCUUCGUCGACGCUGACAACAUUAACCAACUAAGUCGCUUUCAUGCUCAAAAUUUUUAAAAUUUUAAUUUUCGUUCGGUUCAACCAAGCGUCAUAUUUUUUGUCUUGAAGAAAAAAUAUGUUUGUAAAAAACACUGGUUGUUAAAAACAACUUUCUUUGCCCAAGUUAACUAGGGGCUCUUAAAUUUAUAUGAGCCAUUUUGUAAUAAAAGUUUUUUCUAAGUCGUUGCAAAGUCUUUUUUUACUCCUCCUUUUUUCAAGUCGAAUGCGUGGUCAAAUAGCUGGAUAGCCUGAUUUUCUCUUUAAAGCCACUUGAGUUUAGUUUGCUAAACUGGCGGGAGAAGCACUCCACCUUCGGAAAAAAGGAGAUUGAAGCCGAAGGCUGACCUUGAAGUCUAGAGAUCGGAUGUGUUAUGUUAAAGCAUGACGGAAGCAAAAAAAUUAUUUCAAGACAAAUUUUGGAUUCGCACCAAAAAACUUGAUAUAAUUUAGACGUAAAGUUUUUAUGUAAGUUUUUUGGCUUUCCAAGCAUAACUCUCGCAAUGCAACACCACACACCUUUAAAGCACCAGCAAUAUUAAUGGGGGCUACGACUAGAGCUGAACCCACUAAAAGCCAAGGUACUCCAUGUAGUCCUCGGCAAAACGUUCUCGAAUAUUGCUUUGUGUGCAUCGAUUUCGAAUUGUGUCUUUGUUCAACUAAGGGUAAAAGGAGAACCACUUCGAUUGUACUUCCAGUUUAACUGGUCAAGUACCUUAGUGGAGAAAGCCGAAAACUGACUGUCACAAUGAGCGUAAACUAGUCAGCGAUCUGAUGACUGUGUCAAACUAUAGAUCGAUAGAGGUUACCCUGUGUUAAACGAUGGGCCUUUCAUAAAAUUGGCCGAAGUGUUAAUGGCUUGACCUCGGCUGACGCCGAACACUAAUCGAGGUCUAGUAACUGGACUCCCAACUUUAAGCUCCUAUGACUAACCGAAAGUUAUAAAGCCUGCAUAUCUGAUUGCCUCGUUUCUGCUAAGACAACCGCUUCCGGGCACUAGGUCGUCAGCUAAGGGUUGUCUUGUUACUGGGGAAACACCGCCCUGCGUAGCAUCUACAAAGGGGUGGAAGCCGACGAUGGGUCACUUUCAAAUGAUAAACGGUCGCAACAGAGUCAAAAUAAACAUAUAGCAUAAAGCUGCAAAAUACAGCUUAAAAGCUAACUAUCACAACAUGUGCAAAUUCGAUCAGUCGAUCAGUAAUAUUAACCAUAAAGGUCGCCUAUGUAAAACAAAGAAUUUUUGAUAAGUCACAAAGUCUUCUUUCAUAAGGGUGCUCGGUUUGUUCGAUGUCACUAAUAGAAAAGCAGUUAAGCCGUCUUUAAAGAAACUGCGCAAUUCUAACCACAAGUUUUUGGUAUAAAACACUUUGGAACUAUAAAAGAACUAAACCGUACUGAGGGCUCCUUGGGGCACCUCGGCACGGUUACAUCGGGACUCCUGGAGUGCCCAACAUAUCAUCAACGUUUGUAUUCAAUAUACGAGCGUUGCCUUCUGUAAUCAUCGUUAUAAAGCCAUAAAUAUGCAUCAAUUUGACUUAAGAUUUUGGCUAAGCUGAGUUGCCUAGCUCUUGUGCUUACCCCCUACGUUCCCGAUUGUUCUGCUAGGGGUAAAGGGAGCACCUCUGUGAUUGUUACUACCGGGUCAUGCGGGUUCAUACCCCAGACGGGUGAAGUCGAAAGCUAGCUAUCUUAAGAAUAUAAUUGGUCAGCAACGAUGGAAGUGAAAAUUUAGAUUCAUUAAAGACCAACCACAGAGUUCGGGAACUUUCCCAAACUAAAUCCUCAAUAUUUUCCUCCCACAUUGAUCGGAGGUGAGGUUUCUUGAUCAUGGUCAACAUGAUAGUCUGGGAAAAGGAACUUAUAAAGGAACUAUUUUUCUCACAAGAUGUUUCUUUGUUAAAUAGUAACAUAACAUAUCUCUCCAUGUACCUUUGUUUGGCCGGAUUGCCUUGUUUUCCAUAAAUAUUUGCACUCAUAAAGGCUUUAUAAAGUAGGAAAACACUCCCCGGCUAAUGGCCGAGGAGGUUGAAACCGAUGGUCGGUCAACAAAUGCGUACCGCAAAAGGGAUGAAAAAGACUUCUAGCCAACCGCGUACGGUCGAAACGGGUACUGUUCAUUGGGGGGGGGGGUCUGGCAUACUGCAAAAUGGAGGAAACAGACUUCUCUCCAACCCGUACGGUCGAAACGGGGUUUUGUUCAUCGGGAGGGGUGUGGCAUAUCGCAAAACGGGACUCUACGGGCUACUGUUCAUCAUUGUCUACUACCUCCAGCCUUCACGGGCUACUGUUCAUCCACCGUCGAUUUCCUCCAACCUCCACCGGCUACUGUUCAACCAGCCUCCACGAGGUCCUGUUCAUCCACCCGCAACUGGUUGGGGUAUGGCGUACCGCGGCACGGCCUCCUCGGGGUCCUAUUCAUCCGGCGGCAACCGCCUACUACCACGGGGUCCUGUUCAUUUAACCCCCACUGGCUGGGGUGGGGCGUACGAGCGAGCGGCAGCAACGGGAACUAUUCAUCCACAGCCAACCAACCAGUUAGGUCAACUCACCAAGUCUCGCGCAAGGGGCUCGAUCGAUGCGUCUCAACUCGUGUCUACGUGUAUCGCGCGCGCGGCAGCAACAAGCACUGUUCAUCUAGAGACAAACCAACACUGGACGGCUACGUCUCGCACGGGGACUCGAACGACUUCAGUAAGCAGCAAGAAGGAUCGAUCGAGUUCAGUUAGCAGGGAAGGAAUCGCUCGGGUUCAGUUAGCAGCGAAGGAAUCAAUCGGGUUCAGUAUGUAGUGCGAGGGAUCGAUCGCUCGGGUUCAGUAAGCGAACGUCUCGCUCGGGUUCAGUUAGUGAACGCCUCGCACAUACGUGUGUACGAGAGAAACGCGCAGAACACAUUGCAUCGCUCGGCCCCGGCCAGCCACCAUAACCGGGAACUCCCCGGAAAUUUCCCCGCCCUCACUUCUACCGCGAUUUUUUACGUCAUGGACAGCUCAAAGAAUGUCAUGCAUGUGCUUCUCCAGCCCGCCCAGGACGAAAAAACCCAUUUUCUGUCAUAAUAUUUUGUCAUAAAAGUUGAGCUCAACACAUCUAUGAUAAUACGUGUUUUUGUCACAAUUAUCAUCAUAGAAGUGUCAUAUCUAUGAUAGAGAGUUUUUGUUCAGGCCAUAAUGUCACGAAUGUGUCUUUUUUUUUGGUAGUGAACCAUUUGUAAAGGUCGGUGUCUUCGAUUGAUUUUCAUCUCCUGCCAUAGAAAAGAGGAAGCAAAAGGACGUGGAGGGAGUUGCAAGCAACUAUAUGCAUGGAGCAACCAAAACAACCAUGGAAAAGGCUAUUACAUUAAGCAAGGCAACAUAUCGAGUGUCUACAAGAGGAUGGGCAUUAGAAACGAAGAAUUUAUCAUACUAGUCAUGCACUUUCCUUUAGAUAUCCUUGCAAGAUUGGCGAGAACGAUGUCCAAUUAAGGAAGGUAUAGUCUAUUUUUUCUUGAUAAUGUUUUUACGCAUAGAUAAAGUUACGGUAAUGAUAAGUGGCCGGGAGGAGAUGGCAAGCGAACCCUUUUUUGUGGUUACUUUACGGGGCAGGAGAUUACAAAUCCUACCUUUUUUGUCACAAAAUUUCUGUUCUUUCCAGAAAUUGCCAUGCAUUUCUAAACAAACUGCCAACACCAUACAACUAAACUUGCCAUCUAGAACAUUCGCCAAUGCUAACCCCUUCCCAUCAAACGUUCGCCACAUAUGCGGUCCUAAUGUUAUUUGCAACCUAUUAAGGGAGCUUUAGUCUGUUUCUUUUAGAUAAUGUUAUUAGCAACAUUGAUGCCACUAUACUCUUGCAAACACAGGUCCUGCUGCGAUGCUGUGCAGUUUCUAUAGUCAUUCAAUAAGCACCACAUUAUGUUUUUCUUCUUUUUGAGGGAAACACCAUCUAGUGCACUUCACUAAAAUUAUAGGAGUCAUAUCAUUCAUGACAUGCAGCAAGAUAAAACUAGGUGGAUCACCAUCCCAAAACACUACGGCAUGAAGAUUGUCCUUUUAUACCAAACAAUUCAAAGAUAUAUAAAGAUAUUAUGUUCAACAUUUACGUCUUCAGUAAAACAAAAAGAUAGUACAGCAGUAACAUUGUGAGACAUGAUCAAUUCAUUUUGGAUGCAUAAUAUUCAGGAUGGCUCUUGCGUCAGGCAAGAAACAAGUGUCCAAGCCGGAAAACGGGGCUAAGGAGAACAAAAUAUUGGCUAGAUAAAAACCAAGAUAAAUAUUUAACCUUGCCAGAAAGUAAAGCCUAUACUGACUUGCUCAAAUAAGAUUACUGGUUUUACACUGAGGCUUGCCGGAAAUCAAGUGACUUGCUCGAUGAAUAAAAUUACUGGUCCUACAAUGUGGCACAGAAAACUUCUCCCUGUCAGCAUUGUACAGUUA